rnacentral:lncRNA from 1 species
GGUCCACUAGGAAGGUCCACUACAAUCUAUAUGUUGGGAUAAAUGUUAUUUCCAAGGAGUUAGCUGACACUCUUUAUCCCAACGAGUCCAUAACCCCAUCCCAAAAGCUUUUACAAAGUCCAUCUAGAUUAAUUCUAGAAAGCCAUGGGGUAUUAAGGGCAGUUCCUGUUAGAAUCAAGGACUCUGGAAUAUGCCUAGAUUUUCACAUUUUUGACAUACCGGAGAUUCCUCUCUUGAUUGGUAGACCAAUCAUGAAACUUCUACAAGAACAACCACAACGAGGUCAUUUAGACUUCAAGGUUGGGAAUUCUACUAUUAUUGUUCCUCUUGCUAGAUCAAUUAACACGAUAGUGGAACCCAAACUUGUACCAGAUCCUAUUGAGGAGAUCUUAAUGUUGACUCAAGAGGAGAUGGCCCAACCAUUCUUUAAUCAUGAACACUUUGUUCAAGAAGAAGAAGAGUUGGUAGAACCCGUUGAGCUAGACAAAAAUGAACAACCUUCACCUCCUUCGAUAGAGUUAAAACCUCUUCCUUCUGGCCUUAGAUAUGUCUUUUUGCACAAUAACCCAAAAACUCCAGUAAUUAUUAGUGACAAGCUUUCCGAUUAUGAAACACAACAACUUGUCACUAUUCUUGAAAGGCAUAGAUCAGCAUUUGGCUACUCUCUCGAAGACCUCACGGGCAUUAGUCCCAUUCUCUGCACUCAUCAUAUCCCUAUUGAUCCCAAUUUUACACCUUCAAGGGAACCACAACGGAGACUUAACAAUGCUAUGCGAGAGGUUGUUAAGAAAGAGGUCCUCAAACUCUAUCGUGCUGGGAUUAUUUAUCCUGUGCCACAUAGUGAGUGGGUUAGCCCUGUACAAGUAGUGCCAAAGAAAGGAGGAAUGACGGUCGUUAGGAAUGAGAAGAAUGAACUCAUCCCUCAACGAAUUGUCACUGGGUGGCGUAUGUGUAUUGACUAUCGAAAACUUAACAAGGCUACAAAGAAAGAUCACUUUCCGCUACCCUUCAUUGAUGAAAUGUUGGAACGGCUUGCAAACCACUCUUUCUUUUGUUUCCUUGAUGGUUAUUCUGGAUAUCACCAAAUCCCAAUCCACCCAGAUGACCAAGAAAAGACUACCUUUACAUGCCCGUAUGGAACUUAUGCAUACCGACGAAUGUCGUUCGGAUUGUGCAAUGCUCCAGCUUCUUUCCAACGGUGCAUGAUGUCUAUUUUCUCGGACAUGAUUGAGAAGAUCAUGGAGGUUUUCAUGGAUGAUUUUACCGUCUAUGGCAAAACCUUCGAUCAUUGUUUGGAGAAUUUAGAUAGAGUUUUGCAGCGAUGUGAAGAAAAGCACUUAAUCCUGAACUGGGAGAAAUGUCAUUUUAUGGUUCAGGAAGGAAUAGUGCUAGGACAUAAAGUGUCCGAACGUGGUAUAGAGGUGGACAAAGCAAAGAUUGAAGUUAUUGAAAAACUUCCACCUCCCACGAAUGUGAAAGGAAUCCGUAGCGUUUUGGGACAUGCAGGGUUCUAUAGACGCUUUAUCAAGAACUUCUCUCAAAUUGCUAGACCCCUAACUAGUCUCCUAGCUAAGGAUGCACCUUUCAUCUUUAGUGAUGAGUGUCAUGAAUCUUUUCAAACUCUUAAGAAAGCACUCAUCUCAGCCCCGAUUUUCCAACCACCUGAUUGGAAUCUUCCUUUUGAGAUCAUGUGUGAUGCUAGCAAUUUUGCGGUUGGUGCCGUUUUAGGACAAACCAAGGAUAAAAAGCAUUAUGCCAUAUCCUACGCUAGCAAAACCUUGUCUGGACCACAGCUCAAUUAUACUACAACUGAAAAAGAGCUUUUGGCUAUUGUCUUUGCUAUAGACAAGUUUAGAUCUUACUUAGUGGGGGCAAAGAUAAUCACCUAUUCAGACCAUGCUGCUCUCAAGUACCUCCUCACUAAGAAAGAUGCUAAGCCUCGUCUAAUUCGAUGGAUUCUUCUUCUCCAAGACUUUGACAUAGAAAUCCGAGAUAGGAAGGGAGUUGAGAAUUCCGUAGCCGACCACUUGUCUAGGCUACAAUAUAAGGAAACACAUGAUGAGCUUCCCAUAAAUGACUACCUAAGGGAUGACACCCUGCUUAAGAUAACACAUGCAGAUCCAUGGUACGCAAACAUCGUAAACUUUAUAGUAAAAGGCUAUGUCCCACCUGGUGCAAACAAAAGGAAGUUGCUUCAUGAUAGUCGUUUCCACCUUUGGGAUGAGCCAUAUCUUUUCCGAGUCUGCGCUGAUGGACUAUUGAGAAGGUGUGUUCCUAUGGCUGAGGCUACUCAAAUUAUGGGAAGAUGCCAUGCCUCGCCAUAUGGGGGACACUAUGGAGCAUUUCGGACACAUGCUAAAAUUUGGCAAAGUGGUUUUUUCUGGCCAACGAUGUAUGAAGAUACAAAGGACUUUGUCAGGAGAUGCCACCGGUGUCAAAAGCUUGGGAAUAUUAACUCACGAAAUGAAAUGCCUCUCACAAAUAAUCUUCAAGUAGAACUUUUCGAUGUUUGGGGCAUUGAUUUCAUGGGGCCAUUCCCUAUGUCCGGGAAUUGUGAGUAUAUCUUAGUAGCUGUGGACUAUGUGUCCAAAUGGGUAGAAGCCCUACCUUGUCGAUCAGCUGAUUCAAAACAUGCCAAGAGAAUGUUCCAUGAAGUAAUCUUUCCUCGCUUUGGUAUACCCCGGAUAGUUAUAAGCGAUGGAGGUUCCCACUUCAUCGACAAAAUCUUCCGAAAGUACCUAGCCGAUCAUGGAGUUCGACACAACGUCGCAACACCGUACCAUCCUCAGACUAGCGGUCAAGCCGAAACAUCUAAGAAACAAAUCAAAAAUAUUUUACAAAAGACCGUAGAUGAGAUGGGUAAGGGGUGGAAGGACAAACUUCCUGAUGCACUUUGGGCAUAUAGAACUGCAUUCAAAACACCCAUAGGCAUGUCACCUUAUCAACUUGUAUAUGGAAAAACUUGUCAUUUGUCUGUGGAAGUAGAGUUUAAGGCUCAUUAGGCACUCAAGAAAUGGAACAUGGAUCUCCACCUCGCUAGCGAGAAUCGUCUGAUGCAACUAUCGGAGCUAGAAGAAUGGAGAGAGAAAGCCUACCACAAUUCAAGGAUCUAUAAAGAGAGAACAAAACGAUGGCAUGAUAAGAGAAUCAAGCACAAGGAGUUUAAGCCUGGAGAUAAGGUUCUACUAUUCAAUUCAAGAGUUAAGCUCUUUGGGCAUGGUAAGCUACGAAGUAAGUGGGAUGGACCAUACAAGGUUAUUGACACUUCAACUCAUGGAGCCAUUACCAUCCAAGACGACAUAGGUAACACUUUUAAGGUAAAUGGUCAACGCUUGAAAAUCUAUCUCGAGCCACAAAACAACCUGGUAGAGGAACUUGAUGUGAUUGAGUUCAUGGAAUUCUCGUAUUAAGCUCUCAUAAGCUCUAAACAAUUACCUAACCCUUAACAUGUUCCACAAGUUUUGUUGUCUAUUUGGGUUGUGCAGGAUUUUGAGGCUUAAGAAGAGUGAGACCGAACAUGCAGGCCACAAGAGUGAACGACUAUGUCAACAUCCAGCUUGGGGGAGGCACCCCCACGUGUAUCUAGAUAAGUAUUACUUUUCUUUCUGAGUUUUAUUUACUAGUAUUCGGAAAUAAAAAAAUGCAUAACCAUGAAACCAAACAAAGUUUUUCUUUUGAGUAAUAUACAAUAAUUUUGUGUAAUCCUAAGUUUUAAAUAAAAUAAAAAGAAAGUUUGGUUCAAGUCUAGGUAAUUGACAAACAUGAUAUGAGAAGGUCUGAGCUACUAUUUAACUUGUUCCAAGUUUUGCUAGAGUUCUGGAGAUUUUAUCUUUUGAAAAUCUAAAAAUUCAUAAAAUAUAUAUAUAUAUAUAGAUCAUAAUACAUAGAGUCUUAUAAGAUAUAAAUAUUAAAACUAUGGGCACUUGCUUUGUUCAAGCCAUUGUUAAUUCUUGUAGUUUUGGUUGAGAGAAUUAUCAUGCUCCCAAGAUCAAGAUCUUUUUGUUUUAAAAAUAUAAAAGAUUCACUCUUCCGAAGUAUUAUUGCGUUAGAGGCAUGGGACUAUGCAAAAAUUUGAUUCGAAAAAAAAAGAGAGAGUGAGACGAGAGGUAAAAAUGGACAAAUUUCCGAAGUAGAAUUAGGGGUACAAAGAUACCCACCUGAGUGAAAAAAAAUGGACAUGUGUCCGACAGUAGAAUUAGGGGUACUUGCUGCCCACUUGAAAAAAAAGACUAAAAAAAAGAAAAAAAUAUAGCCCAUGGUCCCUCUAAUAAGCAAUAUGCCAGUAAGAGAUGACAAACUUUUCAAAAAGGUCAAAGGUCUUGAUCUAGGAGUAUGACAUUCUUCUCCCUUGCUCCAAGCAUUGACAUAGCAAAAUGCAAAGUAAGUAUGCUAAAAUUUUUAAAGCUCCACUUAUAUAUCUUUCGAGAAGAAGGCAAAUUCCUCAGUUUUACUUUGGAAACUUAAAAAAAAAACUCCAGAACAAAGGUAAGACAGAAGAACUUGAGACAUAGUGCUUGACUUGAUCGCUCUGUUUUUUAAUCACUUAAGACCUUAAAAACCCUGUAGUAAGAGGCAUAAAAGUAACCCCUAUUUUCUUACUAAUUUUAGCUUUGCUCAGGGACGAGCAAAGGUUAAGCUUGGGGGAGCUUGUUGACGGUCCUUAAUGCUCACAUUUAACCAUCAACUAAUCAUGGAAAAGGAUCCAAAUGCAACCAACACCUAGACUUAGGGUUUUAUCUGAUAGAAUUCCACGAAUUUUGGUGUUUGUCUAUUUCUGCAGGGGGUUAUCAGGAAAUUUGGAGGAAAGGCCCACACGUCGGGUUUACAUAGAGGUAUUAACGUGUCGCGCAACUUUCUACCAUCUAGAAGACUCCAGAAGCCAUGGGCACGAACGGGAGGCCGAGCGGGCUCGAAAGCAGGGCGCCUGCCCUACCCCCCUGGGCGCCCGCCCUCCUCUGCUGGCCAAUCAGCACGAGUCUCGGGGAUUAUGCUCCACCGACUCUAAGGAUCGAGGAAAAUCACAUGAUGAAGGUCGGUUUGAUCGGAUGGUGGAGAAUAACGUGGAAAUUCCUUGGGAGCUACUCUUCCUAGAUUUCUUGGGGGCUACUCUUCCUAGAUUUCUUGGGGGCUACUCUUCCUGGACUAUAUAAGCAGACCCCCACCAGCCCCUGGAGGCAUACCUCUUCUUACAGAAUCAAAGCUAGGGUUUCAAUUCUUCAUCCAAGUAGAGAGGAUCCCUCUAGUUCUUCUAGUUCUACCUCUAGUUCAUCUAGUUCUAGUUCUAGUUCAUCUAGUUCUAGUUCUAGUUCCUCUAGUUCUAGUUCUAGUUAGUUCUAGUUGUAAUCUAGAAAAUAGGGAGAGAGAAAAGGAGAGCGGAGGAGGAGGAGCCGGAUCUGUCGGAUCUUCCUCAACAUUGUACUUUUGCAGCAACUGGUUCGUUCUUCAUCGUUGUCCAGGUUCUUCAAUUCAUAAUCCUGAGUUCUUUAAUUACUUUUAUUUACAUUCAAGUUAUUUAUUGGAUUCCCGCUUGCAUCAAGUGCUCUAAUCUUUGCAACAUUAGAGUAGUAAUUAAUAUAUUAGACGUGGUGUUUAGUCUUGCAAUUACCUAGAAUUGCACCCAAUCCUGUGGAUUGUUGUGGUAGCCUUAGGGUAGUGACAGCCCUAACGGUCGACGUAUUCCACCUCGUUCGGAUCGGUGUUUGUAGGACCGUAGUCAGAGCUUCCUAGCCCCCUUCCCAUCUCUUUCUGUGGUUAGUGUUCUGAUGUCCCGAAAUAGAUAAUCUUGAAGUAAUUCUUGAUUCUUAGAUCAACUAGAGAACUCUCAGGAAACUUCCUCUCUUCCCACCAAAAAUAAUUAUAUAGUUAUCCUUGGGCGAUCUUGGAUCUUAGUUAGUACACUCACGUUCUCUGUGGAAAAUCGAUACUCUGGAAUACUCCCGGGUGAAGGCUACAUCGGUAUCCGUGCGCUUGCGGAUUUUUCUGUUUGCGUUUAAAAUACCCAACAAUGACAUUAAAAAUAAAUACCAAUAGUAAAAUCUUAACCUUUGCUUUAGUAGGCUUACCCUUAUUUUGUCUUUGUCUGUAUUUCUAUAUAGGGUAAGUGCAGGAUUGCUUGUGAUCCAUCAACUUUCAUCAAUCAGAAUCAACCGCAUUGAGAAAAAAGCUUAACAUUAGUGAGUGAAGCCAUGGCUCAAAGCCUGUACGUGAAUUCUCUGCUCUCUAAGCACCGAGAACAUUCGCACUGGGCCAACACUCAACACCAACAACCUAGACUUUGAGAUCAAGCCAAGCCUCAUCGACAUCAUCCAAGCAACUAUAUUUAGUAGAAAGACACAUGAAUAUGCUAGUGCUCAUUUGUAGAAUUUUCUGGAGAUUUGUAGCACCAUCGUCAUCAAGAACAUUGCUCCAGACAUCAUACUACUUAGUUUGUUUCCAUUCUCAUUAGAAGGAAGAGCGAAGUAGUGGUUCUACACUAAUAAAGAUUAAAUCAACACAUGGGAAAGGUGUUGGAAGGCUUUCCUAGAAACGUUUUUCCCAAUAGGCAAGACCAAUGCCAUAAGAGGAAAUAUUACAAAUUUCCAUUAGCAAAAAGGUGAAUCUAUUCCAGAAGCUAGGGAGCAUUUUCAAGAAUAUAUCUCAAAUUGUCCCAAUCAUGGAAUGGAAGAAUGGUUGCUCAUGCAAAUAUUCUAUCAUGGAUUAAUUCAGAAAUCAUGUAAACAACUUAAUGCCACUACUAAAGGAUCAUUUAUGUUACUCCACUCCUAGAAAAGCUAAAAUCCUUAUGGAAAAGAUAGCCAUUAAUCAGAGUUGGACAUCAUACAAUACUCAAUCAUAAGAAGUCCCAGAAGAAGUUUGUGCAGUAUCAACCAAGAUGAAUGUAUUGCUAAAUUGACUCAAACAGUGUGAGUUCCAAAAGAGAUCGUCAAGCCACUCAAGAUGCAUUCAAUACUUAGAAUAAACAUGGAGAAUAUUUAGGAGUUGAAUUUGCUGAAUCCCUAGAAGACAUCAAUACUGUCAUCAACAACUCCACUUAACAACAAUAGAAGCAAGGAUGGACUAAACCACGGUCAACUAGUUACGGUAAGGGCCAAGGUAAUAAUAAUUCUUCCAAUUAUAAACAACCACCCUUGAGAGAAUUAAUCUUAGAACAAGCUAGAAUUAAUGAGAACAUUUAUAAAAAGCUUGCUCGUAAUGGUAAAAUUUUAGAAUGUAUAAAUGGUAAAAUGAAUAGUUUUUCUUCUAUUGUUAAAGACCAACAUAUAUUUAACAAAAAGAUAGAAUUAUGAUUAGCCUAGUUGGCUUCUACUCUGCCUUUUGCCACUAAUCUUGAGAAGCUCAAAGCUAUAACUACAAGAGCAAGCAAGUCUACUCGUGAUCCACCAUUCCCAAAGGGGACAGAAAGGACACUAGUGAUAGUGCAGGUAGAAGAAGAGAAGGAAGACAAUGAAGUUUUACCACAAGAUCAAUAAUUACUACAAGAUUUCCAUGACACCACUCUCCUACUGUUUCCAUGCAGAAAUAGAAAGGCCAAAAUGGAUUAACAAUUUGGUAAGGUUGUAGAGGUAAUUCAGAAAAUAUAUAUCAAUAUUCUAUUGCUAGAUGCCAUUCAGGUACCUACCUAUGCAAAGUAUCUAUGAGAUAUCCUCAAUAACAAAAUAUCACUACCAUCUACUGAAGUGAUCAAGCUAAUGGAGGAGUGUAUGUGGCCAUUCUGAACACUUUGCCUAUCAAGAAGAAGGAUCCACGAUGCUCCGCUAUUGACUGCUCGAUCAGAAAUUAGAAUUUUAAAAACACAUUAUGUGAUGUUGGCGUAAGCGUCACUGUCAUGCCCAAAAAGGUUUUUUGAUAGGCUCAACUACUCUACACUCAAACCAACUCCAAUGUGUCUACAACUACCUAACCGGUUAGUCCACUAUCCUGCAGGAAUUGCAAAGAAUAUUUUGGUAAAAAUCCAAAACUUUUUUAUUCCUAUAGAUAAAGUACUUGAAAUGUACGAAGACAUGAAGACACUAAUCAUCUUUGGGAGACCAUUCUUAAGUACAACAAAUGCACACAUUGAUGUUAGAGUCAGAAAUUAAUUCAUCAUUAAUGGACAAGAAGAGCGAAUCGUAUUCAAGCCAUGACCGGAGCAAUGCUCAAUUCUAGAGUGUCAUAAGAAGCAAGGUCACCAACUCCGUGACUGAAGAACAUACCAGAAGAAUAAAUCAACUGGAGAACUUUGGUUUAGCAGAUGUUGACAGUAGAUAAGUAUCAUUUUUAUAUCAACAAGAGAAUGGAAGAAGGGCAUAAAACAAAUACCAACAAUAGAAUAAGGUUUUAUCUAACAAAAUUCCACAGGUUUUGGUGAAUAUCAGGAAAUGACCAAGAGAUGCCCACAUGUCAUGAUUAGAUAAGAGAAACGAUAUAUUAAUACCAUAUACAAAUAAGAAGAGUCUAGAAGAGUCGAGAAGACCCCUAGCCAAGGUGUAACACCGAAAAUUUGUUUUCACUAAAUAGGAUUAAAUUCAAUUUAUUUAAGUAUUUUUGUGAGCAUUUAGUUUAGUAAAUAAGUAAUUUUCUUAGAAUUAAAAUUCAACAUAAGUUUAGGAACAUGUUUUUGCAUUUAUGUUGGAGCAUAUUUUAUUGUUGUGUGUUUUGUUUAAUUUUUAGUUGAAUUCAAAUCCUUUUGAAAAUGCUUUGGGAAAAGAAAUGAUAAAAAAGGAAGAAGAACUCACUCCAGCUCCUUCGACCAAGUGGCACAGUUAGCUCAGCGCCACCUCCUUUCAUCACACUUGGGCCAGAGGCCGCGGCCCAGUUAGCUCAGCGCCACUCCUUUUGGUGAGCAGAGCAGUAGUCAUAGCACUUGGUCAGUUACACUAUGUAUCUACAACCUUCCUCCAUGGUUAUGCAUGAAGCAAAAUUUCAUUAUGAUGCCGGUGCUCAUCCAAGACCUGAAGCAACCGGGCAAUGACAUUGAUGUCUAUCUAAGGCCAUUAAUUGAAGAACUCCUUUUAUGGAGUGAAACAGGUGUUCGUGUGUGGGAUGAGUACAAACAGGAACACUUCGACCUGCGAGCACUGUUGUUUGUGACAAUCAAUGAUUGGCCUGCUCUAAGUAAUCUUUCAGGGCAGACAAACAAGGGAUAUAAUGCAUGCACACACUAUUUUGAUGACCUUGAUAGUAUAUAUUUGAAAAAAUGCAGAAAGGUCAUGUACCUUGGGUAUCGUCGAUUUGUUUCUAUGAAUCACCCAGAUAGAAAGAAAGGAAAGCAUUUUAAAGGUAUGGCAGACCACCGAUGCAAGCCUUGCAACAGAACUGGAGAAGAUGUAUUUGAGAUGGUUAAGGAUGUGAAAGUAGUUUUUGGUAAGGGACAAGGCAGCCAACCAGUUCCAAAAGAUGCAGCGGGUCAUGCACCCAUGUGGAAGAAGAAGAAGUCAAUAUUUUGGGAGCUACCCUAUUGGCAAGUCCUAGAGGUCCGGAAUGCGAUCGACAUCAUGCACCUAACAAAGAAUCUUUGUGUGAACCUUCUAGGAUUCAUGGGUGUGUAUGGGAAGCAAAAGGAUUCACUUGAAGCACGACAAGACUUGGAACGCUUGGAAGAACGAGACAACCUGCAUCCAGAGAAGACAGAUGAUGGACGCCAAUAUUUAAGACCUACUAGCUACACUCUUAGCAAUGAAGAGAAAGAAAUCAUGUUUGAAUACUUAAGCAGCAUCAAGGUCCCAUCUGGAUUCUCCUCUAAUAUAAAAGGUAUAAUUAAUGUGCCUGAGAAGAAAUUUCUAAACAUAAAGUCGCAUGACUGCCAUGUGCUUAUGACGCAAUUGCUUCCAGUUGCAUUAAGAGGAAUUCUACCUCCACAUGUACGUCUGGCCACCGUAAAGCUAUGUGCAUUCCUCAAUGCAAUUUCUCAGAAGGCAAUCAAUCCACUAGAACUAGCUGCUCUACAGAAUGAUGUGGUUCAAUGUCUUGUCAGCUUUGAGUUAGUGUUCCCUCCAUCCUUCUUUGAUAUCAUAACACACCUCCUAGUUCAUCUGGUCAAGGAGAUCAAUAUUCUUGGUCCUGUGUUCCUACAUAAUAUGUUUCCCUUCGAGAGGUUUAUGGGAGUUCUAAAGAAAUAUGUUCACCAACGUGCUCGACCAGAAGGAAGCAUCGCAGAGGGCUAUGAGACAGAGGAGGUCAUUGAGUUCUGUGUUGAAUUCAUUCCUGAACUUGACCCAAUUGGUGUUCCUGAAUCGUGUCACGAGGGGAGACUGAGUGGAAAGGGAACACUAGGAAAGAAAACAUAUAUCGGUACGGGGGACGAUUCUUUCAAUAAAGCACACUACACAGUUCUUCAAAACUCAUCCGUGGUGGAGCCGUAUGUCAUGAAACACAAGGACUUCCUACGAUCCAAAUUCCCAGAGAAGAAUGAAGCUUGGUUUAUGUGUCAGCACAUGGACACUUUUAGUGAUUUGUUACGAAAAGAAUGUCAGGGUAAUGACUAGAUUGAUGAGCAACUGUAUUUGUUGGCUAGGCAACCAUCAUGACACAUCCUCACGUACAAAGGGUACGAGAUAAAUAGAAAUACAUUUUACACCCUAGGCCUAGAUAAAAGAAGCAUGAACCAAAAUAGUGGGGUUCACGUAGACGCCAUAGACCCAAAUAAAAACAGACAAACAUACUAUGGUCGUAUAGAGGAGAUCUGGGAACUAGACUAUGCACCUAAUUUUAAAGUCUCUUUGUUCCGAUGCCAAUGGAUGAAGGUUACCGGAGGCGGAGUGACAGUUGACAAAGACUAUGGAAUGACAACAGUGGACCUCAACAAUGUUGGUUACAAAGAUGAACCAUUCAUCCUUGCUGCUGAUGUGAAUCAGGUGUUCUAUGUGAAAGACAUGUCCACAAAAUAGAAGAGAGGGAAAAAUGACAACAAAUCAAGAAAUGAGCCAAAACGCCAUAUAGUUGUCUGAGGGAAAAGAAACAUUGUGGGAAUUGAGGACGAGUCAGAUAUUUCAGAAGAUUAUGAAAGGGAUGACCGAAUCACGCCUUUCAAUGUGACCAAAGAUCUGAGCAUACUGAUAAAUGUUGAGGACACUCCAUGGUUACAUCAAGCUCAUGACCAAGGAACAUACGUCAAAAAGAAGAUCACUAUUGUGCCCACCUAAUAAAUAGAUUGCAUUAGAGUAUGUGUAUGUGACAAUUGUAACUUAAGAUGUUUAUAUUAGUUUUUAUUAUUUAAUAUCAUUUCAAAUAAUGAAAUGACUUGUGGGAAAUGAAAUUUAAGUUUGCCAAUCCUAAGCACAUUUGUUCAAAAUCCAAGAUGGGUUUGGUCAAACUUGGUCAAAUGACAAACUAAAUUACUUAAAAUGAAAGAAAUUUGAAUACCAAGUUGUUAGAUAUCAUUAAGAUCUAAACUUUUUAUAUAGAUAAUUUUUCCAUUUGAGAAAGUUUAAGUUCACAAUACCCACCUGUGGGGGUAUAAACCCCUAUACCCUUACGGCUAGACUUCCGCCAGGAGGCUUGGCCCAUUACGAGACGAGUUCAAGGCUUGAUCCGACAACCUGGAGUUUCGCGCAAGGAAACAAGAUGUGGAGAUUAAGCAGGAUUCUAGUCGGUUAGAAUAGGAAUUGAUAUCGAAUUAUCCAUGGCAAUUGUAACCGACUAGGAUUAGUUUCCAGAUCUGUAACCCUGCCCUCCAGACUAUAUAAGGAGGGGCAAGGGACCCCCCUAGGAUACAUCAUAUUCUCUCAACACAAAUCAAUACAACCAGACGCAGGACGUAGGUAUUACGCCAACUCGGCGGCCGAACCUGGAUAAAAAGCUUGUCCGUGUCUUGCGUCACCAUCGAGUUCGUAGUUUGCGCACCGUCUACCGAUAAACUACUACCGUGGGUAUACCCCAAGGUAGACUGCCGACUAGCUUUCGUCGACAGUGGCGCGCCAGGUAGGGGGUGUGCGUGCAACUUUUCCGGCGAACAAGAUGGUCACGAUCCCAGCUUCCGCGACCGUGCCUGAAGGCCUCACUUUCACCGUUGGCCAGAUCACGUGGACGACGUGCAGCGGCGGCCUCACGACCACGGUUUCGAAAGAGACCCAGAUCCAAUCUGAGAUCACGCCGUCUCCGACCACACACAUGGCGGCACCGAGCGCCCGACCACCGCUCCCGCUCUACAAGGGAAAGAAGAUCGACAGCUCGGACCUUCUCCAAGCGCUCGAUCGCGCUGACUCCAAGCUACUCGAAGUUUCCCAACUAGUAGACGGAAUUCUGCGUCGGCCCGACCAAGCUGCUCCAGCGGAUUUUUUCAAAUCCCGCCGGCCAACUCGUGUCGCCACACACGAACGGCUGGGAACGUCUCUGACGAUAACCUCAACACCCUCAGGACGAUCCGUCGAGCUCAAGAAGGAAGAUUAUCCUUGCGGCCUGAACAACUCGGCCUCUGUUUACUCACAGCACACCCAAUCCGUUUUCAGCAAGGCGGGUUGGUUGCCGACAAGGAACGAUCGUCACUACGUCAACAUGGUGACAAUCCGAGAACUACGGGACGGCCAGGUUUCCAGCACCAACUCAAGCACCGGUUCCGUCCCCACCGAGGUUAUAAACACCGAAGACGAGGACUACGACCUGGAUUUCCCUUCACACCCUCCGGGUUUCGACCGAUUCCCGAUAUUCCCCCCCCCGGCGAGGGGAUAUUGUAUUCAAUGUCAGCGCCGACGAACCGGUCGUUGAUGGAGAAACAGAUGACCAGAGGCAACUCCACGAACAGCGUAACGCCGAUCGCGCCCGACGACGUGCGGACGAGCAACAACAAAUGCCACCAAAUAAUCUCAACGAUGCCUUUGACAUGGUCGGGGACCAGCCAGUCUACAAAACGCCAAGCGCCAACGUGGCUGUCGCCAUGGCUAACCUGGAUCGGCUUCCUGACACCCCCGAAUGCCAGGGAGUCCGGACCAGCAUCCGAGCACACCUGAUCGCCGCAAUGGGACAGACAGCCACUCUGCUCAAGAGAGUCCAGAACGUCUCUUAUACGGAAGCCACCUCCGACCAGACUAAUCGUAGCCGGGCCUCACCCAGCAGGCGUCACCGCAGCCGCUCCCCCGACAACCGUCGAGGGGACUCACGGCGCGACGAUGGUGGUCGGGACGCCGAUGGCCGCCGCAAGCAGAACCGCGUACGCGGCCAAGAAGAAGAUCAACACAGGGAUCUCCGCCACAACAUCCCUUUCAAAGAUGCCCGGGACCGCAUCAACAGGCGCGCCGCAGAGAGAGCAGUCCACAAAAACCUGCGCCGCAUCGAGUACGAUGCAACGCACGGUCCUCCGGGCCUAAGACAGUUCUCCUCACACCUCCGCCAGGUCGUGUGGCCCCGCAAUUUCAAGCUCGAAAAACUUAAAAAAUACGACGGCAAGGAAAAUCCAGAGAACUGGAUCACCCUCUAUGAAAUCGCCGUCCGAUCAGCGGCAGGGGAUGAGCACGUCAUGGCUAACUACUUCCCCGUAGUCCUCGACCAGGCUGGUCAUCAGUGGCUUCUCGGCUUGCCCGAGGACUCCUUCGACUCUUGGGAAGAGCUACGCCAGGCUUUCAUCGACAACUUCAUCGCCACAUGCGAGCAGCCUGGAAACAAGUAUGACCUUGAAAGGAUAAGGGACAGGAAGAACGAACCUCUGCGCGAUUACAUCCGACGAUUCUCGGAUAUGCGCCUCAAAAUCCCGAAGAUUUCUCAUGACGAGGCCAUCUCAGCCUUCAUCAAGGGCCUGCGUUUCCACGAAGCGCUGAGGAACAAGCUGUUGCGUAAGCGUCCAACAACGGUAGCAGAGCUCCUCGCCACGGCCAAAAAUUACGCCGAUGCCGAUGACGCAGAAAAACUAAUCCGAGACGAUGCGAGAGGUCCCGACCAGCCUCCCCGGCGAGAUGAUGGUCGUGGUCGCUACGACAGCAGAAAUCACCGCCGCUCCGACAACCGCGAUCACCGAGAGGGUUGGGAUCGGUGGCGCGACAGCCGCGACGACUUCAGAGGAAAGCGCCCUCGCGACUACGACCACGAAGUAAAUACGGUCAAAUGACCCAAUGGACGACGGGACUACCAAGAAGACUACAACAAAACGUUGAAGGGACCAUGCCAACUACACCCAAAGUCCAAUCAUACCAUGGAAGAGUGCCGCGUCCUAAAAAGUAUCUAUACACGGCGGGCCGCCCAAGACGACUCCGCCAAGAAAAAUAACAAGCGCGACGGGCACGACCACGAAGAUGAGGAUGAGGACCAAGAUAGGGACCCCCGACACCAAUACGUCAGCCCCACUGACGUGGUCCACUCCAUUUUCGGGGGCAAGGUCUCCACUGAGUCCAAGCGAGAAAGAAAGCUGUUAAAGAGAGCCUGCCUCAACAUAGACAGCACGGACGGGCUGAUCGCAGACCCGAAAUUUCCCACGUGGUCCCACAGGGAGAUCUCGUUCAGCAGGAAGGACCAGUGGGCCGCUAUCCCAGAGCCGGGUCGUUUCCCCCUGAUUCUUGACCCCUGCAUCAACAGCAUCAGAUUCGAGCGCGUGCUCGUGGACGGGGGAAGCUCCAUCGACAUCCUCUUCCGCAACAGCCUGCCCGCCCUCAAAAUGUCCCCGGCACAACUAAAACCUUACGACGCCCAAUUCUGGGGGGUUUUGCCAGGUCAAAGUUCCGUGCCUCUCGGACAGAUAACAUUGCCUGUCCAAUUCGGCACACCCGACCACUUCCGGACGGAGUUCAUCAACUUCGUAGUCGCGGAUUUCGACGGGACCUAUCACGCCAUACUGGGCCGCCCAUCGCUGACAAAGUUCAUGGCAGUCCCGCACUACUCAUACCUAGUCCUUAAGAUGCCCACGGAGAAGGGUGUCCUAACCGUCAGAGGCAACGUCUACACUGCGUACACCUGCGAAGAAGAAAGCUUCAAGAUCACCGAGGCAAUUGACCUCUCAAUCCGCAUGGCGGAAACAGCAAACCAAGCCGCACAGCUGCCUCCCGACCAGCUCCGAUUACCCGAACAGGCGACAGCCAGGAAGAACUCAAAAUCCAAGGAGUACAAAGAAGUGCAGCUGGUCGAAGGCAACCCCGAGAAGACAGCCCUCAUCGGGGCCAACCUGGAUCCAAAAUAGGAAGACGCGCUCGUCAGGUUUCUAAGGGACAACGUGAGCGUUUUCGCAUGGAAACCCGCAGACAUGCCCGGUGUCCCACGAAACCUGAUCGAGCACUCCUUAAAUGUCUCGAAGACCGCAAGACCAAUCAAGCAAAAACUGCGACGGUUCGCUCGUGACAAAAAGGAGGCUAUUAGGACAGAAAUAACACGGCUUCUAGCAGCCGGAUUCAUAAAAGAAGUGUAUCACCCCGAUUGGCUCGCCAAUCCGGUUCUUGUACGCAAAAAGAAUAAUGAAUGGAGAAUGUGCGUUGAUUACACUGAUCUCAACAAACACUGUCCUAAAGAUCCUUUUGGUCUCCCUCGCAUCGACGAGGUGGUCGACUCAACGGCCGGAUGCGAACUCCUCUCCUUUCUAGACUGCUACUCUGGUUAUCACCAGAUCUCGCUAAAGGAAGAAGAUCAGAUCAAAACAUCCUUUAUCACACCCUUCGGCGCAUACUGCUACACGACCAUGUCUUUCGGACUCAAAAACGCCGGAGCCACUUAUCAAAGGGCCAUCCAGCAAUGCCUUUUACGACGAGAUUCGUGAUGACCUCGUCGAGGCCUAUGUGGACGACGUGGUCCUUACAGGAUGUAUGGUCGCCCUCAGUCGCUUCAUCUCAAGGCUAGGAGAAAAAGGCCUCCCUUUCUUUAAACUGUUAAAAGCGUCGGAAAAAUUUUCUUGGACAGAAGAAGCCGACACUGCAUUCAACCAGCUUAAGACCUUCCUCACUUCACCACCUGUCCUUACAGCGCCUCAGCCCAAUGAAGACCUACUCCUUUACAUUGCUGCAACCGACAGGGUUGUCUCCACGGCAAUAGUGGUCGAGCGAGGUGAACCAGGUCACGCCUACAAGGUCCAGAGACCAGUUUACUUCAUAAGUGAAGUCUUAAACGAGUCCAAGGCCAGGUAUCCACAAAUACAGAAGCUCAUAUACGCCAUUCUAAUAACGUCAAGAAAGCUGAAGCACUACUUCGACGGCCAUCGAGUCCUGGUGACAACCAGUUUCCCUCUCGGGGACAUCCUGCGCAAUAAAGACGCCAAUGACAGAAUCGUGAAAUGGGCAAUGGAAUUAUGUCCAUUUUCCCUGGAGUUCCAGAGUCGCACCACUGUCAAGUCUCAGGCCCUGGUCGAUUUCAUUGCUGAAUGGACGGAUCUCAACGAGCUUUCCGUUCCCGAUGUCUCAGACCACUGGUCAAUGUUCUUUGACGGGUCCUUGAACAUCAACGGUGCCGGCGCUGGGAUACUGUUCGUAUCACCCAACAAGGACAAACUGCGUUACGUCCUUCGGAUCCUUUUUCCGGCGUCAAACAACGUCGCUGAAUACGAAGCAUGCUUGCAUGGCAUAAGACUAGCCGUCGAGCUGGGAGUCAAGCGCCUCUAUGUUUAUGGCGACUCCGCUUUGGUCAUCAACCAGCUCAACAAGGAGUGGGACGCAACCCACGAGAAGAUGGAUCUCUACUGCAAAGAAAUUCGCAAAUGGGAAACCAACUUCUACGGCAUAGAGUACAUCCACGUGGUCCGGGAUAAGAACCAAGCAGCAGAUGCGUUGUCGAAGUUAGGCUCAUCUCGGGCCCAGAUCCCGCGGGGUAUUUUCGUCCAGGACAUCCACGAGCCGAGCGUAGGCUCCUCCCUGGUCGACAAGCAGCCCACCGAGGCAAUGCUCAUAGACGACGCCACUCCGACAACCGAUGGGCAUGACUGGCGUACCCCGUUCAUCAAAUACAUAUCGGACGGGACAGGCCUUCAGGACAAAACAGAGAACGAGCGCCUCAUUCGACGAUCAAAGAACUACAUCCUGGUCGACGACAAACUCAUGCGGAAAAACGCAAGCUCCGAAGUACUGCUCAAGUGCAUACCCCAAGAUGAUGGUAUCAAGCUCUUAGAGGACAUACAUGCUGGAUCCUGCGGCAAUCACGCCGCAUCCAGAACGCUGGUCGGAAAGGCUUUCCGAGCAGGUUUUUAUUGGCCAACCGCGGUCGGUGACGCAGAAAAACUGGUUCGACAUUGUGAAGGAUGCCAGUUUUUCGCUAAGAGGACCCACGUACCUGCCCACGAAAUUCAAACCAUCCCGUCGUCUUGGCCCUUUGCUUGCUGGGGGCUUGACAUGAUCGGGCCAUUUAAACCAGCCCCGGGCAAUUUCAAGUUUGUUUUCGUGUUAAUCGACAACUUCUCCAAGUGGAUUGAAUACAUGCCUCUGGUCAAGGCAACCUCCGAGAAGGCUGUGGAGUUCCUCAAUCAAAUCAUACACAGAUUCGGCAUCCCGAACAGCAUAAUCACCGACCUGGGCACUCAGUUUACUGGCACCACUUUUUGGGACUUCUGCGAUGACAGAGGCAUAGUCAUAAAAUACGUGUCAGUGGCACAUCCACGUGCCAACGGUCAAGUGGAACGUGCUAACGGAAUGAUCGUUGACGCCCUAAAGAAAAGGUUGUACACCGAAAACUAUAUGUGUCAAUUGUGGAUUUUCAACUACACCUUCCCAACACUUUGUCAAAUGAAAAAAUGGUCUAUAUAUUAAAUGUUAGAUUUUGAUGAGUGGAACAAUAUUGGUAUUAAUGACUUUUCCAUUCGAGACCAUCUAGGGUUCCGAAAACCGAUGCGUGGCUAUGAAUUCUUUCAAAAUUCAAAAUUGAGUGGUUCAAACUUUUCCAAAAGAAAAGUUGACCAUUAGACUGAAUGUAGAACUUGAUGAGUGUAACAAACUUUGUAUUCAUGACUUUUCCAUUUGGGACCAUCUAGGGUUCGGUCAAAGUGUGUGUUUCUAAAAACCAAUGCUUUGACUUUGGUCAAACUUGGUCAAAUGACCCAUUUGAUGACUUGAAAUGAAAAAACUUUGAAUACAAAGUUGUUAGAGAUCAUCAAGAUCUACAUUUGAUAUAUUGUCCAUUUUUCCAUUUGGAUAAAUUUGAGCCAAUCCGAAGCACAUUUGUUCAAAAUCCAAGACGGGUUUGGUCAAAUGACAAACUAAAUUACUUGAAAUGAAAAAAAUUUGAAUACCAAGUUGUUAGAUAUCAUCAAGAUCUAAACUUUGUAUAUAGACAAUUUUUCUAUUUGAGAAAGUUUAAGUUUACAAUACCGACCAAAUCUUGAACUCACACAAACUAUAUGUAACUAUAUGUGUCAACUUUGGAUUUUCAACUACACCUUCCCAACACUUUGUCAAAUGCAAAAAUGGUCUAUAUAUUAAAUGUAGAUUUUGAUGAGUGGAACAAUAUUGGUCUUAAUGACUUUUCCAUUGAGACCUUCUAGGGUUCCGAAAACCGAUGCGUGGCUAUGAAUUCUUUCAAAAUUUAAAAUUGAGUGGUUCAAACUUUUCCAAAAGAAAAGUUGAUCAUUAGACCAAAUGUAGAACUUGAUGAGUGUCAAAAAACAUUGUAUUCAUGACUUUUCCAUUUGGAACCAUCUAGGGUUCGGACAAAGUGUGUGCUUCUAAAAACCAAUGCUUUGACUUUGGUCAAACUUGGUCAAAUGACCCAUUUGAUGACUUGAAAUGAAAAAAAUUUGAAUACAAAGUUGUUAGAGAUCAUCAAGAUCUAUAUUUGAUAUAUUGUCCAUUUGGAUAAAUUUGAGCCAAUCCUAAGCACAUUUGUUUAAAAUCCAAGACGGAUUUUGGUCAAACUUGAUUAAAUGACAAACUAAAUUACUUAAAAUGAAAAAAAAUUGAAUACCAAGUUGUUAGAUAUCAUCAAGAUCUAAACAUUUUAUAUAGACAAUUUUUCCAUUUGAGAAAGUUUAAGUUUACAAUACUCACCAAAUCUUGAAUCUCACACAAACUAUAUGAAACUAUAUGUGUCAAUUGUGGAUUUUCAACUACACCUUCCUAACACUUUGUCAAAUGCAAAAAUGGUCUAUAUAUUAAAUGUAGAUUUUGAUGAGUGGAACAAUAUUGGUAUUCAUGACUUUUUCAUUCGAGACCAUCUAGGGUUCCGAAAACCAAUGCGUGGCUAUGAAUUAUUUGAAAAUUCAAAAUUGAGUGGUUCAAACUUUUCCAAAAGAAAAGUUGACCAUUAGACCAAAUGUAGAACUUGAUGUGUGUAAUAAACUUUGUAUUCAUGACUUUUCCAUUUGGGACCAUCUAGGGUUCGAUCAUUGUGUGUGUUUCUGAAAACCAAUGCUUUGACUGUUUUGACUGUGGUCAAACUUGGUCAAAUGACCCAUUUGAUAACUUGAAAUGAAAAACAAUUGACUACAAAGUCAUCAAAUGGGACUAAAGAUAUAUAUUCACCAUUACAUCGGAUUAAAGACAUUUGAUAUAUUGAAAAAGUUGUUCAAUUUUUGUUUGGUCAAAAUUACAUCGGAUUAAAGACAUUUUGUUUGGUCAAAAUUGACUAAAAACAAAUUGACUACAAAGUUGUUAGAGAUCAUCGAGAUCUACAUUUGAUAUAUUGUCCAUUUUUCAAUUUGGAUAAAUUUGAGCCAAUCCUAAGCACAAUUGUUCAAAAUUGAGUGGUUCAAAAUUUUAUGUUCCCAAAUUUAUUAUACAAGCAAUUAGACAAAAACAAAUGGAACUAUUAUUUUUUAACAAAUUAAUACAAAUUCUUUUAUUUACUAUGCAAUUAACAAAAUUAACCUAAUUAUUGUAAGCAUAAAUAAAUAAUAAAUAGAAAAGAAAUCUUUAAAAAAUAAUCUGAUGUAAUGGUGAAUAUCACGUAUAUCACGAUUUUGGAGAUAAAUGAUGAUAAAUGAACAAAAUUUAUGUUUAAAUAAUGCACAAACAAAUUUUCUACCAAAAAUAGCUACUUUAAGAUAUUAAAAUUAAAUAAUACAUUUUUGCAUUAACAAUUACUAAUUAUUUUCAUAUUUAAGUUUGCUAUUAUAAGAGAUGGAAAGAUUUUAUAUUUCCAAAUUUAUUAUGUAAUUAAUUAGACAAAAAGAAAUAGAACUAUUAUUUUUUAACAAAUUAAUACCUAUUAUUCUAUUUACUAUGCAAUUAACAAAAUUAAUCUACUUAUUGUAAGCAUAAAUAAAUAAGAAACGACAAAAAUAUUUUUAGUCCCACUUCCUGGAUGGAACCGGGAAUAAAGGUUGCCUUUAGUCCUGAUUCCUGGUUGGAACCGGGACUAAAGGUUGGACCUUUAGUCACGGUGCGUAUCACCAACCGGGACUAAAGAUCUUUUAGUCCAAGUUGGUGACACGCACCGGGACUAAAAGUCCCCGCGGGUAUUUAACCGAACAGUUGUCUUCCUCCUCGAUCUAGUUCGACGUUGCCCUAGUUUCUUCCUCCGCCGCGCGCCGCUCCCCACCGUCGCCUCACGCCCUCGUCCCAGGCCGAGCGCCGUCGUCUCGAGCCCGGCUAGGAGCGCCGCCGCCGCCGCCGCAGCCACCCCUCGUCCUCGGGCCGAGCCGAGGAGCGCCGCCACCGUACUACCGGCCCCGCUUUCUUCUCCGGCGCCCGCUGCGAGCUUCUUCGAUCUCCGGCACCGCGUGAGCUUCUUCUCCGGCGCGGCUACGCGAGCUUCUUCUCCGGUGCCGCUGCAAGCUUCUUCUCUCGGCCGCUGCUGCGAGCUUUUUGAUCUCGGCCACCAUCAUACUGCGCAGUAUAAUUCUUGGUCGGCACUUGUGAUGAUUUUUUUAGAAACUGUGUUGAGCGCUCUGUUGUAUAUAUAUUGAGAUGAGAUGAUAUAAUUUAUAUUUUAUAAUUUAUCCUUUGUAUGAUAUAAUUUAUAUGAUAUAAUUUAUCCUGUGGAAAACUUGAAAUUUGUAAUUUAUUUUUACAGUAUGUUGCUAAGGCCUUAGUUGUAAUUAGUUAUUGUUAUUUAUCCUGUGUAGAAGCUUAAUUAGUCUAUGUUAGCCAUAAUUACAGUGUAAUUUAUAUGAUAUAUUUGUCAAAUAAAAACAAAAGUGUUACAGUACCAAAAACCAAAAAAAAAUUCAAAACUAAACAAGUCCUUAGUUGUUGUAUCGAAUAUAAUAUGGAAUAUCAAAAGAGCAGUUUGGAUAUUAAUUAAAAAAUUAAUUACAUAAUUUCUCUAAAAAUGUGAGACAAAUUUAUUAUAUCUAACUAAUUAAGCUUAAAAAAGAUUUGUCUCGCGGUGUCCCUAUGAACUGUGUAAUUAGUUAUUUUUUUCUCUAGUGUCCCUAUGAACUGUGUAAUUAGUUAUUUUUUUCUCUAUAUUUAAUACUCUUAGCUAAUUUUAUCUAAUUUUUAGCUAAGGCAUGUAUACAUAUAUAUGGAAGUGUUUCGUUUAUCAUAUUUGUCUCGCAAAUUUGUCUCGCAAAUUAAUUACAUGCUGUAAACAUAUAAAUGAAGGGCCUUGUUUUCUUGCAAAAGAUUUAUCUCACAAAUUUGUCUCGCAAAUUAAUUACAUGUUGUAAACAUAUAUAUGGAGGGCCUUGUUUACUUGCAAAAAAUUUGUCUCGCAAAUUAAUUACAUCCUGCAGUGGCGUUUUUAUUUAUCCACACGUUUUUAUCUAUCUAUGCAAGAGUUAAUGGACAAAAAAUGGAAGUGCUUUCGUUUUUUAGAUAUUUAUAAAAAAGUUACACAUCCAGAUUUACUUAUUGAUAAAUAUUUAUAUUUAUUAAAAUAUUCAUUAGAUAAUGUGUAGACAAAUAUUUUACAAUAAAAUCCUCUUAAAACUACUCAAAAGCUAUAUUUAUCUUUAUGAUAAAAUCCCAAAAUGUGGGGACAAAUAUUGUAUCCAAAUAUUAUCUAAGUUUAGCCUAUCCAAAUAAUUUAUGUUGAUCGCGUCAAAUACUUUUGCGUUGGAUAUAUUAAGUACGAGAUUUGACAAAUAACUUUUAACACUUAAUUAAAUUUGCAGAAACGGCCAAUCCGAAUGACAACAUGGAUGGUGCAAUGAUGGACCUAAUCAACAGCGGCGCUAAUCCAGAUCCCCAAGGCGAAGAUGAUGGGAGUCAGUACUUUGCUGAUUAUGAAGAACUUGUGCGAGACAAUCCUGAUGAUGUUUAUCUACAAUCUAGUAUAUAUAUAUGAAAUUAAAAUAAAUGACAUUUAUACUAAUAUAUUUAUACUUGUUUGUGUAGCCCUCUAGAUCGGCGACAACUUGUGAGAAGAGUAGAAAAGUGUGCGGCCCGAAGAAGCUGUUGGAGGGUCGGUACAUUAUGUCGGAAUUCGAUGAGGGUACAAGACAAGUACUAUGUGGCAGACACCGGGCAACAAUUUGUGUGGCUACUAUAUGUGCGAGUUUAUGACGGUCAAUGCCAAAAGAACUAACCUUGACCACCUAAAAGUACGUAACAUGUAUAUGUAAUAAGUUUAUUUCAUUUAUUUGUUGCUAUUUAAUAAAUCCUAUUCAUACAUCUAACUUUUUUCUUUAAUAUCUAUUAAAGGAGAUGUGGUUAAAGGAGCAGGUGUUGGAGGCGGUCCGCCUAAAAGGAAUUCAAUCGCAGAAUUUCUUAACGUCCUGAGUCCCGACGGCGAGUGCUACUUCAACCCUGAGGAGCCGAUGAAACCAAAUCACGAUGAUCAUUUGUACGAUGCUUGAGUGACGAAGAUAAAUUGUGUUGUAAAUACUUUGUCCGUGAUGCAUAUGUGUAAAUAUCAUAUUAUGGACCUAUAGAUACAUAUAAUAUAUAUAGUGUUUUAUAGUAUAUUUAUAUAUAAUGCUUUAAAUUAUAUAAAUUAUAGGUGCGCGUUGCAUAAACUACCAGUAAACAAUAUGCAUUCGAAAAAAAUAAUAACAUAAUUAGAAACCCUAAAUGGAAAACCAAAAGAAAAGAAAAGAAAAAAAAAGAAAGAAGUCUUUAGUCCCGGUUGCUAGCAACAACCGGAACUAAAAGUGGAGGCCAGGUGGCACACCCUGACGCACCUUUUAGUCCCGGUUGCUGUUACCAACCAGAACUAAAGGUGGACCUUUAGUCCCGGUCCGCAGAACCGGUACUAAAGGCGGGAUAUUUAGUCCCGAAACCUUAGCCCCGGUUCCGUAGCCGGGACGGCCCGGGGCUAAAGCCCUUUCCUGCCCCACGUGUCAUACGCAUUUCAUAUUUGCCAAUUUUGCCAUCGAUUCAUGCAUACAAGUAAUUUGUCCAUGUACAUCUGCAAUAGGUAAGUUGUACACUAAAUAUGCAUCAUUUCAUAUGAUUUUAGCUUGGUGGUGGGUGAAAUAUUGACGGUUAAACAGGGUGUUGGUGACCGUCAACAAUUGCCAAGACUCGAGUGCGCAGACGUGGCCGAGCGGUGAGAGUUCGGUAGAUCCCUAGCCACGCUGCAGAAGGGGAAUGAGAAGGGAGGGAGCAGCGGAACCCUAGCCACGUCUCUUAUAGUUAGCUGCUUCUGGGCUGCCAAACGACUAGGCGAUAAGCCCAGCCACAUCCAGCCCAGCAAGCCUUCCCAUCUCCCUUGUCUCUCUCGCUCUCUGUCUAUUGAACAGCCCGCGCUAGCAGUCAUGACGGUGGCCCAGAGGGACUCAUGGCAGUUUGACGGAUCGCCAAGCGUUGCCAAAGCAGAGGCAGAGCACAGCAAUCACGGUCACUACAGGGUCCGUCUAGGAGCACUACGAGCAGCGGAGUGGAGCUAGAUAGCGCGGAUCCAAACAUGCAACGGCGAUGGGAGCGUGGCGAAAUGCCACAACGCACGGACCUACUCCCUCCAUCCCAAAUUAUAAGUCAUUCCAAGGAUUUUGGAGAGUCAAAACAUUUUCACGUUUAACCAAAAUUAUAGAGUGAAAUACUAAGAUUUGUAAUGUAAAGUGAGUAUACUAUGAAAAUAUAAUUAAAGAAGAAUCUAAUGAUAUUUAGUUUGUAUCAUAAUAGUUAUUAUUUUAUCAUAUAAAUUUAAUUAAACUUUUAAAAGUUUAACUCUUCAAGAUUCUUGGAAUAACUUACAUAGGACGGAGGGAGUAGCUCGCAGGGCCGCGGCAACGACAUAGCGUUAUGCCACAACAUACAGCUGGCGAUCGAGGCAUGCAGCAAUCUGCCUAGCGCGAUCCGUGUUGUGUGGUGGUGCAGAGUUGGGUUGAUGUGUUGCACGAGGCUGCGCGGUAUAGCAUCAGCGAGCUUGCUUGGUGUGGUGGCUCGGCGGCCGUGUGCUGGCCAUCGAUCCGUGACAGCGUGGCCGCCGGUGAGCUUUUUCAUAAUACUCAAAAAUAAUUUUCAAGGCUGGUCCUGAAGACCAUCUGACUCUACACUGACGAGUUUUGAGGAAUUUGCACAACGCAACCGUUUUUGCAAACGGAUUUUUAGUCCCGGCCGGUGGACUUUUUUAGAAAUGCUGUUUUAAGUCGGCGAUCUGGCUGUCUGUAGAAAUGAACUAUUUUUACAAUCGAUAGGAUAGUGUUGGCUUUCUAAAAGUGGAUUUUGACCAUGCCUAAAAAUCAUUUCUGCAGUAGUGUAUAUUGGGCCCAUAUUAGCUUGAGAUUGUGGCCUGCUUGGCUCCAUGCAUUACUUUUAACUAAUUAGCGAGUUAUUUCUUGAUUAUGUGGAUCACCUUAUGUAAAUUCGGGUACAUGUGUAUUUUCUAUUGAACACUAGUCUGUCCUAAAAAUCCUACAGGAUCAAGUAUUUCCGAAUGGAGAUUCUAAUUUGGAAGGUAAUGUACUAGGUCGUUGUGUGUGCAUCAGUAAUGCAUGUAAAUGUCUGAAUUAACUUCCAUUGUCUUCAUAUUUGUUCAAAUUCUAUAUCUUCUUGUCAAACUUGCUGAGCAGGGGUCAACACUGAAGACCUUACUUGUACUCAAUCCAUCCCAAAUUGUAAGUCGUUUGACUUUUUUAAUAUCAAGUUUGACCACUCGUCUUAUUUAAAGUUUUGUACAAAAUAUCACUUUUUUUUGUUGUGUAUUGGUUUAUUAAUAAAAGUUCUUCAAGAAUGACUUAAAUUUGACUAUAUUUGCACAAAUUUUUUGAAUAAGACGAGUAGUCAAACUUGAGGUAAAAAAAGUUAAACGACUUACAAUUUGGGAUGGAGGCAGUAACUAAUAAUUGGCAGUCGCCACAAUAGUUAUAUAUUGGUUCUAUAAAGUUCUAUUCGUUCCGACCUGUGUGUCUGUAAGAUUGUUGCUAAGGAAAAUAAAUGUUUCAUUAUUUGUACAGCUAUCUGUAUUAGCAGCAAGGCGUGCCUUGGUUUAGGUUUUAAUGUCAUGAUUAGAGAUGGUUUUGUUUGCAGAUAAAACAACAUCUAGCUAGGACAGCCAUGUACUUAAUCCAGAUUAUCAUCACAUUAUGACCCUAUUCAUUUCAGCACAUUGAUCUUCCACACAACCUUCUCAGGUAGAUCUUCGGGCAUGCAAAAGAAGCAAACCACACUAAUAAACCUUUUAACUUCUAUAUAUAAAUAAUAAUAAUUAAAAAGGAAUAAAGUACAUCAUAGAAUGCAUAUUAAAAACAAGGCUCACUGGAAUCUUACAUGUAUAUAUAUGACACUAUCGCAAUACACAAAAUAAGUAUACACACCCAAAUGAAGCUGUACUUUAUUCUGUAGAAACAAAAAAAACAAAACAGGACUGCAAACCACGCUAGCUAGACCACACAUGCAACUCAUAGCUAGCAACGUUGAUCAUUGACCAAUGUUCUCGAUUCAACCGAUCAGUUUUUGGCCGGAGGAUGGUAGAUGGGAGUUGGUGAUGCGUACGUUGGCGCUGGGGGGUGGUACUCAGGCUCAGGCUUUGGUUUGGGCUCAGGCUUAGGCUUCGGUGGCACAGGUUUCUUGUGGAAGUGGUCAAAGAACUUGUGAUAGUCAUGGUCCUUGUGGAAGUGAUCAAGGAAGUGCUUCUUGUCAAACGAUAUUUCUUUCACAACCGGAGGGUGGUAGAUCGGAGUCGGAGACCCGUAUGUGGGUGUCGGGGGGUGGUACUCAGGCUUAGGCUGCGGCUUUGGCUUUGGUGGCACGGGCUUCUUGUGGAAGUGGUCAAAGAUGUGGUGGUAGUCAUGGUGUUUGUGGAAGUCAUCGUGCAAGGGAUUCUUGUCGAACAAGUGCCUGGCAGGAGGGUGGUAGAUUGGUGUAGGUGACCCAUAUGUUGGCGUUGGUGGGUGGUACUCAGGCUCAGGUUGAGGUUUGGGCUCUGGCUUGGGCUUGGGUGGCACAGGCUUCUUGUGGAAGUGGUAAAAAAAGUGGUGGUAGUCAUGGCCUUUAUGAAAGUGAUCAGGCUCAGGCUGCGGCUUAGGCUGCGGCUUGGGCUCCGGCUUUGGCUUUGGUGGCACGGGCUUCUUGUGGAAGUGGUCGAAGAAGUGGUGGUAGUCGUGGUCCUUAUGAAAAUGGUCGAGCAAGGGCUUCUUGUCAAACAAAUGUCUAGCUGGAGGGUGGUAGAUCGGUGUGGGUGACCCGUAUGUUGGAGUCGGAGGGUGGUAUUCUGGCUGUGGCUUGGGCUCUGGCUUCGGCUUUGGUGGAACUGGCUUCUUGUGGAAGUGGUCAAAGAAGUGGUGUGGCUUAGGUUCUGGUUCUGGUUUGGGUUCUGGCUUCGGCUUCAGCGGAGAUGGCUUCUUGUGGAAGUGGUCCAAGAAGUGGUGAUAGUCGUGGUCCUUGUGGAAGUGAUCAACCAUGUGCUUCUUGUCGAACAACUGCCUUGCUGGAGGAUGGUAGAUUGGAGUUGGGGAUCGAUAUGUUGGCGUAGGGGAGUGGUACUUCGGCUGCGGCUUAGGUUCUGGCUUUGGCUUUGGCUCUGGCUUCGGCUUCGGUGGCACAGGCUUCUUGUGGAAAUGGUCCAACAGGUGCUUCUUGAUCGGCCCGCAUAGGGUUGCCGACGCGCAUUCUGCCGACGGGUAGUCUGUCUUGCCAGGGACCACGACGAAGUUGCCAUCGGACGACUGCGGCACAAUCCUGGAAGGUUCCUGACCGGGGCACGGGGUGCCCGCGGCGCUGUGGAGCUGCGCAACGCAGUCAGCGGCGUGCAUGUCCGUGCUCAGCGGGAUGCUGAAGGCGCCGGAGACAUCUAGCUUGCCUAUGGCCUUGCUCUCGUACUCGCCUUUGCUGUUCCUGCACUUGAUCGCCACCUCAAGACCUGAAAUGCAUGGAUCGAAAAGCACCGUCAGUACCAGCAGCUAGCUUCUUCUGACCUUACUGAUCAGCUUAAAGCAUUGAGUAUCCACUGUUUAUGUUAUUAGCUUAAUUAAAUAUGCAUGUAUAUUAUUCCUAGUAUAUUUACCCUUGAAUGCCGCUUCGGCCUUCAUGUUCUUCCUGGUGCAAUCGGCGCAUUUGGCGAGGCCGAUAACCACCGAGGACGCCUCACUGGAGGCAGCGCUUGCGACGGCUAUUACCAUCAGCACGGCGAAAAUGCCGGGGAGAAGGCCCCCAUGUACCGCAGCCAUGGCUAGAUGGAUGACUCGAUGAGAUGAAGAAGAGGCAAUGCAAUGCCUGCCUUAUAUAGGCCUACGCAUUGAUCAAACACAGCUCGAUCUUACAUGCAUGCACGCAUGAUCACGAGCUGGUGAGGACUGAGGCGCCAGCACACAUAAUUUUGGCGCCGAAAUUGCAGACCGGCCGGGAAUUAAUGCCGUCCAUUUGAGUUGAUCAAUCUCUGUCUGUCCAUUCAUCAUGUCCAGUCGGUUGGUAGUAGUUGGAGUUGUGUAAGUUACGUCAGUUGCGGCACUUUGGAUUUGCAUGCAUGCAGCGCCAGUACAUGCCCUGUGUAAUGCAGGUUUCCAUUGGUCACAUCGGAAAAGCAAAGCUUGUAAAAGCGCGUGUCCGGUGUGCUCAUCUGCUGGACAAUAAAUUUCAGAACAGUAUAGUAUAGUUUGGUUUGUUUCAGAAAAGGGACAGUACUUUCGGAAUGUGGAUACAAAAUAAGUUCUUUCUGACCGCGUGUAGUUGGAUACAACAUAUAGUAGCACAAAAAAGCUCUAUGAUGACGGUAGUGUCUAAUUUAUAGACGCGGCGAGCCCAAUUCAAGAACCGCCACUGUAAACCCAUUUACACUGACAGUUCACUUAAGGAAACUGUCAGUGUCAAUAGUGCAUUUCCACUAGCGGUUUCCUUAAGUGCUGUGCAAAUAGAUUUACACCAGUGGUACCUUAUGUCAGCCGCCAGUGAAGUUUUUGGUAUAAAUACUCAUUCUUCCUCCACGAGUAGAACUGUUUCUCACAACCACCUUCUAUUAGAGGCCAUUUUGGAGGUCUAGAUUUUUAGGAGGUUGCUAAGAAAUGUUAGUUUAUAUCUCUCUUGCCUCUUUUUGUUCAUUCUUGCUCAAUUUGAACCACUUUAUGGAUCUAGGAUUUCACCAUAUGUUAGAGAGAAGAAUAGCUAGGUUAUUAUCUUUAUUUGCUCAAAUGAUCUUAAGAUUGUUAGAUGAUGUCUCUCCUCUAUCCCUUUUUAUUUUUGCUUCUCACUUUAGUUUAUCCAAGAUAUAUUUAGUUAUUUUCAUGAAUUGUGUGUUCUUGUCUAUUUAUGUAGAUAGAGAAAUAUAGGUUCUUUUGUUAGUUUUAUAAAUUGUGUAGUUUUUUGUCUUCAUUUCUCAAUUUGAUUUAAUUAUCCACUAUGUAUUUAUGUUUCAUGAAUGGUGUGUUUGUAUGUAGAGGGGAAGAUAGGUUUCUUAAUUAAUUAAGAUUAUUGUGUUUAUUAAUUAGAAAAUAUGAAAGAGGUUUCUUUGUUUACCACUAUGUUGUUGACUGAGGUUACUUAGUACGGUUAAUUUUAUUCUUCUAACUUUUAGCGAACCUUGCUUCAAGGUCUAUAAAUUGGAAAAUAUACAAGUGGGAGGUUUUCAUCUUCAUUUCUUCGAAAGAGGUUGGUGAUCAAAAGAUUAGAUAAUAAAUAUCUCUAGACAAUCAUACUUGUUUUGCAUUGAUUAUAAUUAAUUCAUUAUAUUUUUUAUAUGUAAUGAUGGAGAGGUCAUUUUGGAUGUAUAAUUUAUCAAGACUAAAUCCAUCAUAUAUACCCGAGGUCCCUAGGUUUUUUGAUGCUGACUAAGAACCAUGCUUGGAGAACAAAGAUGAAGCACAUCUAUUGUCCAUGCAUAGACUGUACAAAUGUUAUUGUAUUUGAUGACACUAAAUCAAUCAUUUAUUAUUUGGUCUAACAAGAAUUUAUGAUGGAUUACUUGUUUUGGACAAAGGGUAGCUUGCGCCUUAUACAAAUAGAAACCUUACGAACAUCGACGUUGAUGCUGAUGGAUUUCCGUUCCUACAUGAGAUACAACAACCUCUUUCCUAGAGUGAACAUGUUGUGCCAAAUGUUACGGUUAUGGAAGAUGUAGAAUUCUUAGGGUAAAGUUGCAUCAUCAUAUGGAUCCAUGAAUAUUAUUAAUGAAAGGUAUGGAAGCCCUGAUAAAGGCUGCAGAAGAGACUUUGCACGACGAGUCUAAGGGUUAUACCAAAGAGUUCAUGACACUGCGGUCUAUGCUAAAGUUGUCGAUGUUAAAAGCUAGAUAUGGUAUGUCUGAUGCUGGCUUGGAUGCAUUCUUGUGUAUUAUUGCAGACAUGCUUCCAAAGGGAAACAAUGUGUGUGCUAAGACGUACUAUGUAAAGAAACUAAUCAGUCCGCUCACUAUGGGUAUGGAGAAGAUCCACGCGUGUCAUGAUGACGAUGAUUAUAAGGACUUAGAGAGUUGUCCAAAGUGUGGUGCAACUACGUACAAGACAAAUAAAGACUAUCGAGAGAAAGAGUGUGUUGCCUCCAUUUCUAAAGGAAAGAAGCGAAAGGAGACCAAAUAGAACAAACAAUAAAGUUCAAAAUCUAGAAAAAUAUUCCUACUUUGAUGAUGUGGUGUAACACCCUAGUGUUAAGUAUGCAUUAAGGCUUCAUCAAACUUAUAUGAGCAUUGGCACAAGCAUGAGCAUCUCAUGUGUUGUGCUAUAUUUUAUGCAUAUCUUUUAAAUGUGAAUUAAUUUUGAUAAUUGUCAUGCUAUGUCUAAAAAUGCUUGUUAUGCCUAGAUUAAAUUGUUUUAUGCCUAAACUUAAAUUAGAAAAUUUAAGUACCAUUUUUGGAGCCCUAGAAUUAAAGGAGUUGAUUUAAAUUAAAAUUUCGCAAAAUAGAUUUAUUUCAAACCUAGAACUAACUUUAAAUUGAAAUUCAAAAUCCAUUUGGAUUCUUGAUUUGCACCAUAAAGCAAAGUUAUAGAGAAUUUUAUUUUGAGCAACUUUUAUUUUUGGGUCAACUCCUGAAAAUGCAUUUAAAACAGUGUUUAAAAAUUAAUUGAGAAAAUAAAUUCAAAAAAAAGAGAAGGGAGGAGCGCCCUACUGGGCCACGCACCUUGCUUCUGGCCCAGCAGCCAAAGCCGGCCUGGCUCGUGAGCACAUCCCCUUCCUCCUCAGGCGCGCACUGUGGCCAGGUGACGUCGUGGCCGACCGUGCGUAGGCCAGCCGCGCCACGUGGAUGGCAAGCAACGGCAGCGGCUACGACAGUGCCUGCUUGCCCGAGCAGAAGGGGACGACAGCGGCUCUGCGUUGUCCACCUUCUCCACUCCACCCCGACCACACCUCUCUUGCUCUCGUCUCACAAAGCAGAGCUUGACAGCACCAUCGUCCGCCAUAGCCGCUACCGAGCUCCAGCGUCGACGUUCCAUCUUGUUGGUCGCUCCCGCCCUCGAUUCCUCCUGUCCACCGCUCCGUCUUCAUUCUCCUCAUCUCUGAAUGAGUCGGAUUGCCUCCCUUGGCUCAAGGUGAGGGAUAGCCGGCUGUCUUCUUCUUCUCUAGUGUGAACGUCGCAGCGGUUCAUGUGGUCAGCAAGGCCGCCGAGCCUCUUCCUCCUUCCUUUUGCGCGCAUCACAUUCGCCUUGACCUCGCCAAGCUCGUGCGUGCUCUGGUUCAUGCUCUACGCCGGAGUUCGUGAGUCCACCAUCCAGCAGAGCCAUCGUGCCGCCAUGGCCGGCGACGAGCUUGCUUCGGGGUGUCUCCAGACAAACCACCGCGCGCAUCCUGUUCGCCUAGGCUCGGGGAACACACAUGAGUGCUCGGUGUUGCCGUAGGGUUCACCGACAGCGAGAUCAGGCUCGCCGGAGUUCUCCCCCUCUCUGUGUGGCUAACAGGUGGGGUCGAGGACCCACUUGUCUAUACCUGUGUGCGGAUGCGGGUGCACUGCACCGGGUACACCUAGUAGAACUCGCCGAGACUUGAUUCUCAAUUUAAAGAAAUGUUUUUCAGAUAAUGGUUUAAAGCUUGUAAAAAUCAUAGCUUGAUUUCUAUUGCUCCAAAAAGUUUAAACAAAUUUUGUUAUGCUCUAUAUUAGUAGAUCUAAAGUUCGGUGUACUUGGUGUGAGACUUUUCUGUGAAGGUUUAUUUAAAUCUUGAAAAUAUUGAUUUCUUAUAAAAUAUGCAAAAAAUAAAAUAUAGCUCUGAAAAAUGUACUUCCUAUCUUGGUACAUUUGCACUACAAUCUAGCCUCUGUGAAAAAUGAGGAACCUAAUAUUACUCUACAAAAAUAAUUAUUAGUGAAUUAAUGCUUGCAUGAUGAUGGUUUAAGAUUUUUAAUAAAUAAUAUAUAAAUGCAAUUAAUCUAAGAAUUUUUGUAGGGCUCUCCUAUGUUACAAAGUAUUAAGGAAAAAUAUUAAAUUUGUUGUCUGACACUUUUGUAUGUAUAGAGUAUUUUCCAUUGUUUAUGUUUAGCAUACUUGUGAUUUUUGUGUGGGCCAUUUUACUUACCCAAAUUUUGUGAAAGUUUUAUGGUAGACUAUAUGUGUGAUCUAUAAGCUACUGUAAUUUUUAUGGAACUUAUUGAAUACCAGAGGUAUAUGUUGUUGUUAUUGGCCUAGUAAUAAAUAAAUAAAUAAAGAAUUAUUUUAUGUGAACUUGAAAGUAAUUAAACAGUUUGGUGUAUCUUUGAAGCAUUCUAAUGUGUGCUGCUUUAUCUUGGUAGGUGUAGAAAAAGAAUAGAAUAGAAUAACUUGUACUUAAGUUACAUGUUCUUGGAUGACAUUGACUACCUAGUACAAAUAGAUCACAUUGUCUUUUUGUCAUGACUCCCCUCUACCGGAGAGGAGAUAUGCACAUACUCAGUAAAUAACACAUCAUGACCACCCUUGUGAUCAUCUGCAUAAUCAUGCACCAUAUGUUCACCAUCCACUUACUUGAGCAUAUGCAUCAUACAGGCUCGUAGAAGAACGACGUGGUGACCGAACCUGAGGAGCCGGAGGUGACCGAGGUGCAGGAGAUCACUGAGGUGGAAGAGCAAGAAGAGGAGCUGCAAGAGUGUCUAGAUCACAGUCCUAGUUCUUUCGAGAAAGGCAAGCCUUGCUCCCCAAAUUUUCUGCUAAUUAUAUAUAUAUCAUGAUGGUUAUAUUGUUAUAUUAAGUUAUAGGAGUUGCUUGAUACCAUUGAUGUAUUGAAUAUCCCUUGGAAUAUCACCUUUCUACAUACCUUAUCCUAUGUAGUAUGGGCUCAGAGUCAAUGCUUAGCUCUGCUUAGCACAGUAGAAGUCGGAUGAUUCCCUGUCACCUGCGAGCUGUAGGUGGUCACCAAAGGUUUGGCAGUAUGUUUGCUAUCAUAAGUAAUAACCAAAUGUUGGGAAGCAAAGCUAAGACCGGACGAAACCUUUUGGGGGUGUUGGACCAUAGUGAUUCUGUCCUUGUCGAUUAAGGACCGAUCAUUGGUGGUCCUCUUGUCAUGUUGAACGCAUACCCUACACUUAACUUGAAGGAUAAGUUGUUCUGACUGUGAAGGUGGGACGCUAUUUGGGCCAGGAAUUGACCUGAUGUACGCACUGUAUUGGAGAUAGUUGAGGAGACUGAUGAGGGCGCGACGUGCAACCUUGGUAUGCCUUGGAUACCUUUGUCAUCGGAACGGUCCUUGGGUAUGGUGGUGCCUGCUGAACCGUGAAUUGGUCCUGAAUAGUGCAUCCGGUGACCUGUAGCUUACUUGAUCAGUGAGUGUGGCUUAUGUAGGGAAUAAAAUCACUAGCUGGUUAGGAAUUGUUUCGAAUCAUCAUCGCUCCUGGAUAGUAAGCACUUGACUUGAGCUUUGUCAUCGUAUUAAUGUUUAUGGAACACUGGAUGGUUAUGAGAUAUUGAUGAAGCUGGAAAAGCUGCACUAAAUUGGUAUUAUUGUACUGAAUCAAGUGAUUGCUAUAGUACAGGUGUUAAUCUAGAUGAUAGGUUAAUGAUACUUAACUUGAGCUAAUUAUCUAAAAAGGUUAUUUACUUAGUAACUUAAGAUUUUAUGGAAAGUUUGUGUCGAGCUACCCCUUUAUACAGCCUUACAUGAUCUUUGGUGUCAUUUAUUUCUGUUUUGUGAUAGGUAAGUCUAGCUGAGUAUAUUCUCAUAAUCAGGGCUCUGUUUCCAUGUUGUUUUGCAGAUGGGCAGAUGUACUAUGGGUACUGUAUUAACUGUCUUUACCUAGCUAUGGGUGAUGCUUAGACCAAUGGUGUGGUCACUUUGUCUUAUCUUUUGAUUUUGUGGGAAUCAUCAGACUCUAGCACUGUAAUCAAACUAAGUUUGUGUGUUUUCUAAAACUAUUCACUUCCGCUACUACUUUCAAGACUUGGUUUGUAAUAACUAAAUUCAAACUCCAAUGUACUGAAAUGUUUGUCAAUGAUAUGUAUUGUAUGAAUGGCGACCACUGAACUUAUUACGAUCUCUGUUAUGUUUGAGGAAAUUUUGAGAUCCUUCGAGAUUUCAUGGACUACCGGGAUUAUAUGGGCUUAAGUCUUUUAUAAUUUGGACAGUUCUGUUACAGCUAGUGUUGGAGCCAGUUUUAGCGGAUUACAGUUCAUAAGUAUAUUUAAAACAAAUUAAAUUUGUUUACAAAAACUGAUUAUCCAUCACGAAUUAUCAAGGUGUUAAAGUGAAUUUUGGAAAAUUAUAAGUGUGCUAGUGGUCAUAUCCUUUAUGUCUAGUUAAAGACUCUAAGGUGGCUAUUUAAGUACUGACUUGUUGGUUUAUGCAUCAUAUUUCUCUUUCAUUGCUCAUAUGGCAUUGUUGACAUUUACUACCGCCAUUACUAAAAAUAUAGAUAAACCCUACCUCUAGCAACAACGGCAAAAAUGCUCGGUAUAUAAUUAACUUAUCAUUAAGCAACUAGCCACUUCUUAAUGACUAACAUUCCUAAACAUGAAGUAGGUUGUCAUCCCUAAUUAUAUUGCUAGGAAUUUAUUAUAUAUUCACAUGUACUAUUGUGACUAGGCAGAAAUAAAAGAUAUGAAUAUGAUUAUAAACUAAAUGGGUUCUAGAAGUGGACAGAUAAUUAUACCAUUGUAGGAUUUUACCUAGGGAAGUAUCCAGGUUGUCGAUUUAUAUUUAUACCACUGGGAAGGCUAUGUGUUAAACAAUAAUCUAUUAUAUUGAUAAGAAACUAUAUAGGAUGAAUAAAUGAUAUUACCAAGGUUGUCUAAUCUACUCAUAACAGGUAGAGGUCACAAGAUAAAUAUGGGUAAAUAAUAAUGAUAGCAUAAUCAUCAAGUAUCAUAUUUAUGAAUAAUCAUUAGAGCAUCUACUAGUCAUGAUCAUAGUUAGCCAUUAGAUAAACUAGGGAGUUGGAUCUAAGGUAAUUCUAUAACUACAUCACUGAAUAACUCUAAUUAGUGCAAUUACAUCUAGAAAUCAUUGUUGAGCUAACCCUAUAUCAUAGUCACAUGUAAAGAGGCAUCAACUAAUGAGGGUAUUAAGACACAAGGGUCACCUCCUUCGCGACCGUGCCCAUGCUAGUCCUACGUACGAAGGGUGGACUACAGAGGAUACGCAACUGUCACCUAUGCGGUCUACCACACGACCCGACACGUCAGAGUGCACUCGCAGAUAAACAAUAUAUCUAGACACCACGUCUACAUAUUAUCUAUCAUCAACCCAAAGAUCUAUUAGGUCAACGCUAUAUGAGCAAUUACAUGAAUUCAAUAAGAUCAAACCAACUAUCCUAGACAUAUAAUCAAAGUAGACAAUGGCUAUUGCAAUUAAGAAUAUAUGAAUCUAUUAAGAACAAAGUCUCCCUAAUAUACAAUUGAAUACUAUAAAGUAAGAACAAGAUCUAUUACCGAACUCUUGCGCUCCAGACCGAAGCUAGGGGCUCCAGAUCCCGAUGAAGAACUAGAUCUCCUCUACUUCCAAUCUAACUAACUAGAACUACGAACUAGAAGGCUCUUGAUGAACUUGAAGGCGCUUGAUGCUUGAUGGCUCGAGGCCUUGAUGAAUAAUGGAUUGGUUUAUUUCUCCAGGGGGGUCUACCCCUGUAUUUAUAGUCCGGAGGGAUGCGCGUGCGUCGUAGGAUCAAACCGACUUAACCAAGGGCCGAGAUGACUCCUCGUAGGUGGUGGAGGAAGCUUCUAGAAGAGGAAGGUCAAAACCCUAGAUGGGGCACCAGCCGGUGCUAGGGUGGGGCCAGCUGGCCCCACCUGGCAGCCGCCUGGCCCCCUGUUGCUUUGGGUGUCUUCUCGAUCCUUCCUGAGUCCUCCCGUGAUAUUUCCCGUGGUGGAUAAGUUUCGUGUUUAUUUUGUACUAGAAUCCCUCUUUUCAGCUUUCCUAGAAUUCACCCUGAAAAAUACAGGAUAUACAAAACUCGUGGAAAUUGUCAGUUUAAACCCUAGACUAGUGUGUUUUCAUGUUCUCCUUCGGGUUUAAAGCUCUAUAAAAGUUGACGUUAUCGAUCAUCAAUCUCACACCCAUAUUUUAAGAACAAAAUAGGAUGCAUAAAAGACUCAUAUGUGCCCCAGAAACAGUCGCACACAUAAGUAGACAAAUCUCAAAUGUACCAUUGCAGUGUUUAUUACAUAGGGGAACAAUAAUAAAUCACAUAGUCUUAUACAAGAAUGAUAAUAAGAUUAAACAACGCUCUCGACGGAAGCACCACACAGGGACACUGUUGACUAGUUGACUCCAAGCCUAAUACUCAUAACGGUAGUCCUCAUUCCAAUCAUCAUCAUUAGCAUAACCUGGGGUGUUGGGAAAUUGCAAGAGUGAGCACAUAUAGUACUCAACAAGUAUAACCAGGGGUUCAUGAGGCUCAAAUAGCUGACACUGGUUUUACUGAAUUUAGCUUUUAUAUGUAGAUAGCAUGUUUAUAUUUAGAUAGCCAAUAUCAAGGUAGCAUAGUAAAUCCCAUAACCACAUGAUCAAUGUAUACAAGAAUAAAGAAUAACACAUAUAAAUAACAUAAUAAACCAUCAUUUAUUAUCAUUAAUCAUAUUCAUCAGUGUCCAUCUAUUCCGUCAGUUUUUUGGGCCGCCCGUAUCCGUGGGCACGGCUAGUAUACCAGAUUUAACACUCUGCAGAGGUUGUACAUCUUUACCCAUGAGUCAUGAUUUACCCUUUCGCCCAAGGUAGCUAAUAUCUUAACCUCCUUCCUAGGGAGGUCGGUAGGGAUCACUAUGAAGCCUUUCAAAAGUUCGUCUAACAUGUUAGGGCCGCAAAGUUUCCUUCGUGCGCAGAUAUAGAUACCCCCCUUCCAAAUGGCAUAAUGACGCGCAGCCUAUACACAUAAGGAUAGGGGCUCGCACUAUACCCAAAACGGUUCAGCCCCUCUAGCGUCCUUUCGGGUAACCUCUAACAAGCUAGAAAAGGUCUUCAUACUGAGCUAAAGCCAGAGCCAUAUAACCCUCAUAGUUGUACGAGUUAUCCCAGCUUUUGCCAAGGGAUAAGUCCUUAUGAAGGGUCAAGAUCAAUCCAGCAAAAGCCAGAGUUCUUUCCACCCUUUAUAUUCAAGUUGCUAGAAAGCUUAUUUUAUUGUUUAUUGUAUAUUCAAAUAUUUAUGUUACAAGAUCAUGGAUUAAUAAUCAAGCACUAGCAAGAACUACCCACAUGCAUAUCCAAAUAGGUAACAAGGAAUUCAGGAUAACAAUCAUCUAUGAUUUUGCUAAAGUCAUCAAGGUGGACACAUGCAUAUGAUAUAUGUAUUAAAAGUGUGUAGGUAACAAGGAUGAUCCUAAGUUAUACUUGCCUUGAUCAAAGCUCUCCUGAGCCUGCUGCUGGUCUUCAAAAGAUGGACCUUGAUCACCAACGUAUCAUUCUCUGUCUAUACUCAAUCAUCAAUCAACAACACGCAAUCCAAUGUAGACAUUCAUACACGAAGCAAACAAGCUAUUAUUAGAACAAUACACCAAACAAUGGUAAAACAAAUAUAAAAGUUUAUCAAAAUAUUCUACGCAGCGCUACGAUCACAUAAAUGUAAAGUUCACGAAAAUCAGAAUUAAAACGUAGAAGAUAUGAAUUUUCCAAGAUUUCCUAUUGAUAAAUAAUUAGUUAAAUACUACUGCAAAAUUAAAAAGUUUCAAAACAGAGAACUAAUACUCCUAACAUGUAGAGCUCGUAAUUACGAACCUAACGCACUUUGAAUGGACAAAAAUGGAGUUAAAACGAAUAUUUUAUGAGCAAAACAAAAUCAAUGGCAAUUCUGUAAAUACUGGAAAGCGUAAUUUGAUUCAAACCGACGAAAAUACGCUUUUAGAAAAUGAAAACGUAAACCAGAAAAUACGUAAAGGACGGCGGGUUGAUUCCUCGGACCCUAGGGGUCUCUUUAGCAAAAUAACCCCUGAAGGGGUAUCUUCUGUUCUGGUGCGUCGGAUUUCGAUCGGACGGUUGAAAUUGCGCAGGGGUGAGAUCCGGCCGACUGCCUCGCCGGAACAGGAGCCCGACGCGGCGGCGCCAUGGCCGGAGGAGCCGAGCUCGGCGGCGCUCAUGGUUUCGACGACUCAGAGCCUCCGCGGAAGAAAGAAAUGCACCGGGCGGAAGAGGAGCUUACCCCGAGCUCGCCUAAGCACCUUUCUAAGGCCGAGGACGCGCGUAUGGAGCUCGCGGCGGCGGCGAGAAGAACUUUGCUCGGUGAGAUCCCAAAACGCAAGAAAACGGUGGCUAGGGCACAGUUUGGCAAUUUAGAUGCAAAGAGGAGUUUGCGGCGGUGUUAGGGAGUCUUAUAGGACGCGAUUGAGCAAGAAAGCCCGGGUUCUUCGGGAUUUGGAAGGUGCGGCUUGAGUCCGGGUCAGUGACGGCAUGAGGAAGAUGGGAAAGGGGAGGAAGAGGCGCUGACUGUUGACGGUUCUUAAGUAUCAAUUUUAAUUAUCAAAUAAACAAGAGAAAGGACCAAUAUGCAACCAACACCUAGAAUUAGGGUUUGAUCUGACAGAAUUCCACGAGUUUUGUUGUUUAUCUGUUUCUGCAGGGGGUUAUUAGGAAAUUAGGAAGAAAGGCCCACAUGUCGGGAUUACAUAGAGAUAUCAACGCACCGCACAAUUUUCUACCAUCUAGAAGACUCCAGAAGCCACGAGAAGAAAGCAGAGGCCGAAAGGGGCCAGGCCCAGGGCGCCCGCCCUGAGGACCUGGGCGCCCGUCCCCCUCUGGAUGUCAAUCAGGACUCUUUUCACACACGACGUUCCACCGACCUAAAGGAUCAAGGAUAACGUAGUACCACAUCGCCUACUGGACCAAAAAUGCACAGAGGAGGAGGACUAUAUAAGCAGACCCCUUGGCCUCUGGAGGGACGGAAGUUUAUCAUAGAGUUGAGGGGUGCCCUCGAAGGAAAACCUCUUCUCUAAAUAAAAUUUCUUUUUAGGCUUAGCAACCAAUGUAAGUAGAAAUAGAUCUUCUAGUUUCUACUAGAUUGAGAGAGAUAGAGUGGAGGUGUAGAUCGGAGGAAGCCCGGCCUGUCGGUGUCUACUUCGAGCUUGUACCUGCGGGAUCAAGUUCUCCUAACUCGAGGCUUGCUCCUAGGAUUAUUCAGUAUUUCGACUUCUAAAUUAUAGUAAGUUCUUAUUUUAUUGUUCUUUUGGUUUAUGAGUUUACUUUAAUCUCUUCGCGUAGAGUUUAGAGUAAUCAUCUCUAGCGUAGACGUGGUGUUUAAGCUAGGAUACUCAUAGAUAUUCCCUGACUAGCUAGACCGUGGUAGUAGCGAGGAACGUGACAUUUCCGAGUUACCUUUGUAGACCAUAUCUCGUUAGCAGGAAGGAUAGGGUUUAUAGGUGCGGGUUGAACAUCCUUUCUGGUGUCUAGAUUCCGUUAGCGUCCCCAAUAGAAUAGUAGAUCAUCCUUACCAAGGUUAGAAGGAGAUUACGGUUGUAGUAUUCUCUAUUUAUUACUCACAUCGAGAAACAUUCUUUGUUGCCUAAACGGUUAGUAGUAAUAGACCAGGUUAGUCAGAUGCACUCUUUCUCCUAGUGGUAAAAAUAUAAAUACGAUACUCUGGAUAACAUCCCGGGUGAAGUGCUCACCGAUAUCCGUGCGCUUGCGGAUCAAUUCCUUAUUGCGUUCCCAAAUAUCAACAAUCAUUUCUGGCGCCGUUGCCGGGGAGAAAGACGGUUUGCUGAGAUAACCUUGAGUCUUACUACUAGCUUGUAUCUAUACUUUUAUCUUUUCUUAUCUUUUAUAUUCUUUAUCCAUUUUCUUUACUCUUACCUUAUGGAAAACCAAGAUUCUAAAUCAAUCUACCAAUUUGCAACACCUUCGGAAACUGAUCUUUUACCAUGGGAGUCAUCACAGCCUAUCCAAACAUCCCAGUAUAAGUUAAGUUCUAGGUUGAUUGCCAUGAUUCAAAACCUAUCUUUUUCGGGAAAGGAAGACGAAAACCCUUGCCUUCAUAUUAGAGAUUUUGAGCAAACAUGUGAUUGUCUUUGCAUUGAAGGCAUUUCUGAUAAAACUUUACGUUGGAAGCUUUUUCCUUUUUCUUUAAGUAGAGAAGCUAGACAAUGGUACAGUCAGAAGGUAAGUCAACAACGAGGUGAAUGGGGAGUUUUACGAGCCAACUUUUGUCUAGAUUUUUAUUCCCUCGAUCGUAUCGGCGACCUUAGACUCGAAGUCCUAUCUUUUAAACAAAAAGAUAAUGAAACUUUGGGAAAAUCCUGGAAACGUUUUUCUGAUCUUUUAGAAUCUGGUCCAAACCUUAAUCUUGAAGACCCUGUUCUUUUAUUUCACUUUUUUCGAGGUCUUUAGAAAAAUCACAAACAAAUGCUACACACAAUGUCUAGAGGUUCUUUCUUUCGCAUCCCUACUGAUGAAGCUAGAGUGAUCCUAGAUAGAAUCCUAGAAGCUGAGAUGGAUAAUACCCUUCAUGAUGAAACCUACGAAACCGAAGUAGACACUCUGCCAAAUUCUUCAUCUACUUUAGCUAUCCCAGGUUCUGAGCCACAAGAGGAAGAAAUUCCACCACCGGACUUCAUGCUGGAUAUAGAAUCCGAUUUUUUUGCCGAUUUUGGAAACAUUUCAGACUACCAUUCUAUUGACAAACCCCAAAAUGGCCAGUUUAGCAUUUAUUUGCCAAGUGAAUAUCAAUUGAGAGAGCUUAUCUCAGUCAUGAGUAGCGAAUGGUUGGAGGAGUCAGAGCUUUCCUCUGAUGUGAUCCGUUUGGACACACCCUCUAUAACUAUACGCUGUGUUUAUAAUUCUGAUCGAUUUAAUGCUCUUUGUAAUCCUGUUGUGGGGAUCAACAUCAUGUCUGAAUCUUUUGCACUUAAACUAUUUAAAAAUCUUGUCUUAACCCCCACAACAAAGGUCAUAAUGGAAUCUUCGGGACGAUUAGUCCCCAGUCUUGGAAUUAUUAAUGUCCUACCUCUUACGGUAGAAGGCUCCAUGGUUCAUUUGAACUUCUAUAUCUUUGAUACAUGGGACUUCGACCUGUUGAUAGGACAACCUUUUAGAAGACUCCUUUAUGAAGGUCAUACUGGAAAGCUACACAUUUCUUUUGGAAAAACUUUUAAAAUCCCAAUAACAAUUUCACACUCUCUGAAUAAUAAGGCCGAGUCAUAUCUUUUGCCUGAUCCUAUGGAGGAGGUAAAGGCUGCAUCUCUUGAACUUUUAGAAGAAUCAGACUUAGAAGACGAAACUCCUUUCUUCAUAGAAGAAGAAGUCAAACCUUCUGAACCUGAACCCUUAGAUGAGUUUGCAGAAACACCUAGACCCCCCAUAGAGCUUAAAACUUUACCACCCGGUCUUACCUAUGCUUUCCUAAACAAUAAUCCAGAGUUUCCUCUGAUCAUUAGUGAUAAACUUACUCAGGAUCAAACUCUACGAUUAAUGACCAUUCUUAAGAAACAUCACUCAGUUUUUGGCUACUCACUCCAAGAUCUUACAGGAAUCAGUCCUAUGAUUUGUACCCAUCAUAUUCCAACAGAUCCUUCUGUUACACCUUCUCGAGAGCCCCAACGUAGACUUAACAACACUAUGAGAGAGGUAGUUAACAAGGAAGUUAUAAAGUUGCUGCAUGCAAGGAUUAUAUAUCCUGUGCCGCAUAGUGAGUGGGUGAGCCCAGUUCAAGUUGUGCCUAAAAAGGGAGGCAUGACUGUUAUUAUGAAUGAAAAGAACGAGCUAAUUCCGCAACGCACCGUCACAGGAUGGCGGAUGUGCAUAGACUAUAGAAAACUAAACAAAGCCAUGAGAAAGGAUCACUUUCCUUUACCUUUUAUAGAUGAGAUGCUAGAGCGAUUGCGAACCAUUCGUUCUUCUAUUUCUUAGAUGGAUAUUCAGGGUAUCACCAAAUCCCGAUCCAUCCUGAUGAUCAAAGCAAAACCACUUUUACAUGCCCAUAUGGAACUUAUGCUUACCGAAGAAUGUCUUUUGGGUUAUGUAAUGCACCAGCUUCUUUUCAAAGAUGCAUGAUGUUUAUAUUUUCUGAUAUGAUUGAAGAGAUUAUGGAAGUUUUCAUGGAUGAUUUCUCUGUUUAUGGAAAAACUUUUGAUAGUUGUCUUGAAAACUUAGACAAGGUUUUGCAAAGAUGUGAAGAAAAGCACUUAGUCCUUAAUUGGGAAAAAUGUCAUUUUAUGGUUAGAGAAGGAAUAGUGCUAGGACACCUAGUGUCUGAAAGAGGUAUUGAGGUAGACAAAGCUAAAAUUGAAGUAAUUACACAACUACCUCCACCUGUGAACAUAAAAGGAAUUCGAAGCUUUCUUGGCCAUGCUGGUUUUUAUCGUAGAUUCAUAAAAGAUUUUUCAUUUAUUGCUAGACCACUUACUCUUUUGCUAGCCAAGGAUGCUCCUUUCGAAUUUGAUGAUGCAUGUCUAACAUCUUUUAAUUUAUUAAAGAAAGCACUCAUCUCUGCACCAAUCAUUCAACCCCCUGAUUGGUCGUUGCCUUUUGAAAUUAUGUGUGAUGCUAGUGAUUAUGCUGUGGGGGCAGUUUUGGGACAAACUAAAAAUAAGAAGCAUCAUGCAAUUGCUUACGCCAGUAAAACUUUGACAGGAGCUCAACUUAAUUAUGCAACCACUGAAAAAGAGCUUCUGGCUGUUGUCUUUGCCAUUGAUAAAUUUAGAUCUUAUUUAGUUGGAGCUAAAAUAAUUGUUUACACUGAUCAUGCUGCACUAAAAUAUUUGCUCACUAAAAAAGAUGCUAAACCUCGCUUGAUUAGAUGGAUCUUAUUACUCCAAGAAUUUGACAUAGACAUAAAAGAUAAAAAGGGAGUAGAAAAUUCUGUUGCAGAUCACUUGUCUAGAAUGUAUUUUAAGAGUCCACAGGAAACCCCCAUCAAUGAUUCACUCCGGAACGACAUGCUCUACGGGAUUAACAGGUCUGACCCCUGGUAUGCAGAUAUUGUUAAUUUUAUGGUUUCAGGGUAUGUACCACCAGGAGCAAACAAGAAGAAGCUUAUUCAAGAAAGUCGUUCACAUAUAUGGGAUGAGCCAUACCUCUUCCGUGUAUGCUCUGAUGGCUUACUUAGGAGAUGUGUGACCACUGAGGAAGGAUGGAAGAUCAUCGACAGAUGUCAUUCAUCACCAUAUGGAGGUCAUUAUGGAGCAUUCCGUACACAUUCAAAGAUCUGGCAGUGUGGAUUCUACUGGCCUACAAUGUAUGAAGACACGAAGCAAUAUAUCAGAAGAUGUGGGCCAUGUCAAAGGCACGGAAACAUAAAUACAAUGGAUGCAAUGCCACUCACCAACAACCUUCAGAUUGAGCUCUUUGAUGUCUGGGGAAUAGACUAUAUGGGUCCAUUUCCUCCAUCAAAGAAGUGUGAGUACAUCUUGGUGGCAGUAGACUACGUCUCCAAGUGGGUAGAGGCAUUACCUUGCAAGCAUGCCGACAACAUCAGUUCAAAGAGGAUGUUUGAAGAAAUUAUAUUUCCAAGAUUCGGAGUCCCCGGAGUAGUGAUAAGUGAUGGAGGAGCACACUUCAUCGAUAAACGCUUCAAGCAAUAUCUAUCAAAACAUGGAAUCCGUCACAACGUCGCUACCCCCUAUCAUGCCCAGACAAGUGGCCAAGCAGAGACUUCCAACAAACAAAUCAAGAAUAUUCUUCAGAAGACAGUAAAUGAAAUGGGAACGGCGUGGAAAGACAAGUUACCCGAUGCACUCUGGGCAUACCGAACAGCAUACAAGACCCCAAUUGGAAUGUCUCCAUACCAAUUAGUGUACGGGAAGACUUGCCACCUACCUGUUGAACUAGAGUUCAAAGCACACUGGUCCAUAAAGAGAUGGAAUAUGGACCUAGAUGUUGCUGGAGAUCAUAGAAGAAUGCAACUAUCAGAAUUGGAAGAAUGGCGAGAGAAAGCAUAUCACAAUUCAAAGAUCUACAAAGAAAGAGUCAAAAGGUGGCAUGACAAGAGAAUCAAGAAGAAGGAGUUCACACCCGGAGAUAAGGUAUUACUUUUUAAUUCCAGGGUGAGGCUCUUCGGGCAUGGAAAACUCCGGAGCAAAUGGGAAGGACCAUUCAAGGUAAUUAAUUCAUCAUCCCACGGAGCUAUCACACUUCAAAAUGACAAAGGUACGUUAUUCAAGGUAAAUGGUCAACGUCUUAAAUUAUUUUUAGAGCCCAAUAAAGAAUUAGAAGAAAUAGACGUAGUCCAUUUUUACCUUCCCAUGGAGAAUUAGAGCCCGACCUUUUUAAUCUGAUGUUUAUGGGCCAUAUAUAUUUUUCUAAAUAAUUUUGCAUCUAGAACCACGCUCGAGAAAGUGGGCCCACAGAGGGGCCAGAGAGAGGGCGGGCACCCAGAUCAGGUGGGCGGCCGCCCAGCUCCUGUUCCCCCUCAGUCCCGAUUUUCUCUGUUAUGGAAAAUACACUUAUGGUAAUCCGAAUAAUCCCUCAGAUGGAAAGUUUCGCACGCACAUCGAUGGGAGCAACCCGAACAACCCCUAGAGGCACUUUUUGACCCCUAUAUAAACAGACCCCCGACAUCAGUUUUCAAACACCAAACCACCAAGCCUUCUCUUCUUCUUCUUCAAUUAUAGCUUGAUUAGUUCCUUGCUGCUCCAAUGGCCAAGAAGUUCCAUGAUGAUUGGGAAGUCGUCCCCUUCAACCUCAACAUGGAGCCUGCGGAAGACCCCGACGCCCGUGCUCUCGUCCCGGCCAACACAGAGCGACAGCUAGAAGCCAUGCCAUUACGCCAACGCAGCUCCGCCCAAUCCUACCAUGCUCAACCAGUUCUCACCGCACCGCCACAACCCCUACUCCUCAAGGGAUCAUCAUCCAAGACGAAGACCACCAUCAAGGUGCCAACCGACACGAGGAUCCUUCCACCUAGACCCAAUGAGAGGGUCGUUGGAGUCAAGACCAACCGGAGCGGCGAGAUCAGCAGCAUACGCUACACUACGGAGGAGGAAAGACCUUAUUUCGAAGGGAUUAGAGCAGCCAAAGUCCGUUUCAUCCCUCCAAAGGCAGCCCCGAAGCACGCUCUCAAUGCUUUUGAGACACCUCCCAAGCGUCGCAAGACUAUAGUAGAUAUUGAUGAGGACGUUCGCAGGCUAGACAAAGUUAUCAUAGACCUCCAGUCCUCGAUUAAUUCCCUCACUAGGCAGCUCUCUAACCACAACACCGUUAUACUAGACCUUAGGCAUGAUCUUGCUAGUGCCAAUAAGAAGAUUAAGGAAUUAGAGCGCCGCUAAGUUAUCUAGAUUAGACCUUGAGGCAAUGCAUCUUAGUUAUCAAUCUUUAAAUUCGGUUUAGGUUUACUAUUAUUGUCAGUUUAUCAUCAGUUUGCUACUAUCGUCAGUUUGCUGAUAGUUAUUUGUAAUAAAUGCCUCAAGAUUAAUAAAGAGUAUUAUUAUUAUUAUUAUUAUUAUUAUUAUUAUUAUUAUUAUUAUUAUUAUUAUUAUUAUUAUUAUUAUUAUUAUUAUUAUUAUUAUUAUUAUUAUUAUUAUUAUUAUUAUUAUGUUUUGUGUGUCUCUAUUUUAUUUUUUGUGCAAGAAAGCAGAAACAAGUAUAGGGGGAGAUCCCUCGACAUGCCAAACACAACUUCGACUACACCACUCCACGAGUCAGGUACACACUCUGCACACUUUACUUUACACAUACACAUAUCUUGGAUUAUGCAGAAUACUGUUUCCGACAUGAUAAAUUAAAAAGAUUAAAAUAUUUCUAAUCAUGAUUAAACUCACUCUGUGAUAUUUUCUGAAACAUGCAAUUAUUGAAAAUCAUUUUAAAACCCUGUGUUACUUAAGACAGUAUGGAAUGUGAGAUGGUAGAGUAUGAGUUUCUUAUUCUUAAUAUCAUUGUUGCUUGGAGAAUUUAUUUCAAAAUCUUCAAAAUUCUAGCUACCAUCCUCAGUGUUUUAUAUGCCUAAUAAAACUGAAAAUAUUAAUUAUGAUUAUAAAAGCUAUCUACUGUAUUGAGUUUGUUCAAAAUAAGUUAGACCCUUGUUGAGAGAUUUAUCAUGCUCCUAAGAUAAAGACAUUUAUUCAGAAAGAUUCACUCUUCCGAAGUAUUAUUGCAUUAGAGGCAUGGGCUAUGCAAAAAUAAAGAUAUCUCGAGGAAAUAAAAAGGAGCAAGUGCUCGACAACCUCGCAGAAAAAAUGGACAAGUGUCCGGCAGUAGAAUUAGGGGUACCUCGGUAUCCACUUAAAAAAAAGAAAAAAAAAAGAAAAAUGAUAGCCCAUGGUCCCUCUAAUAAGCAAUAUGCCAGCAAGAGUUGACAAAGAUUUUAAUUUCCAAAUUCUUUGAUCUAAGAGUAUGACAUUCCCCUCCUCGGAUCCCGUUUUGAUCAGGCAAUAAAUACAAAGGUAAGUAUGCUUGAGAAUUUUUGCAAUUUAAAACAACCUCAGUGAGAUAUGUAAAAGAUAAUGAGUGAUCUGAGAGAACCUAUGAAGAUAAAAGGUAUGCUAACUUUCUUUUCAAAAAUAUACAAAAACUCCAAGUAACAGGAUUGAGAAGAAAGGAUCUUUACUCUUAACCAUAUACUUCCCUGACUAUAGUACACGGUGGAUUUUAACACCCUGCAGUUAUGAAAAGAAUGUUUUACCCCAGAUAUUGUUCUUAACCAUCCUUUUCUCGAGGACGAGUAAAAGCCUAAGUAUGGGGGUAUUUGUUGACGGUUCUUAAGUAUCAAUUUUAAUUAUCAAAUAAACAAGAGAAAGGACCAAUAUGCAACCAACACCUAGAAUUAGGGUUUGAUCUGACAGAAUUCCACGAGUUUUGUUGUUUAUCUGUUUCUGCAGGGGGUUAUCAGGAAAUUAGGAAGAAAGGCCCACAUGUCGGGAUUACAUAGAGAUAUCAACGCACCGCGCAAUUUUCUACCAUCUAGAAGACUCCAGAAGCCACGGGAAGAAAGCAGAGGCCGAAAGGGGCCAGGCCCAGGGCGCCCGCCCUGAGGACCUGGGCGCUCGCCCCCCUCUGGAUGUCAAUCAGGACUCUUUUCGCACAUGACGUUCCACCGACCUAAAGGAUCAAGGAUAACGUAGUACCACAUCGCCUACUGGACCAAGAAUGCACAGAGGAGGAGGACUAUAUAAGCAGACCCCCUGGCCCCUGGAGGGACGGAAGUUUAUCAUAGAGUUGAGGGGUGCCCUCGAAGGAAAACCUCUUCUCUAAAUAAAAUUUCUUUUUAAGCUUAGCAACCAAUGUAAGUAGAAAUAGAUCUUCUAGUUUCUACUAGAUUGAGAGAGAUAGAGUGGAGGUGUAGAUCGGAGGAAGCCCGGCCUCUCGGAGUCUACUCCGAGCUUGUACCUAUAGGAUCAAGUUCUCCUAACCCGAGGCUUGCUCCUAGGAUUCUUCAGUAUUUCGACUUCUAAAUUCUAGUAAGUUCUUGUUUUAUUGUUCUUUUGAUUUAUGAGUUUACUUUAAUCUCUUCGCGUAGUGUUUAGAGUAAUCAUUGCUGGCGUAAACGUGGUGUUUAGGCUAGGGUACUCAUAGAUAUUCCCUGACUAGCUAGAUCGUGGUAGUAGUGAGGAACGUGACAAUUCCGACUUACCUUUGCAGACCAUAUCUCGUUAGCAGGAAGGAUAGGGUUUAUAGGUGCGGGUUGAACAUCCUUUGUGGUGUCUAGAUUCUGUUAGCCUCCCCAAUAGAACAGUAGAUCAUCCUUACCAAGGUUAGAAGGAGAUUACGGUUGCAGUCUUCUCUAUUUAUCACUCACAUCGAGAAACAUUCUUUGUUGCCUAAAGGGUUAGUAGUAAUAGACCAGGUUAGUCAGAUGCACUCUUUCUCCUAGUGGUAAAAAUAUAAAUACGAUACUCUGGAUAACAUCCCGGGUGAAGUGCUCACCGAUAUCCAUGCGCUUGCGGAUCAAUUCCUUAUUGCGUUCCUAAAUAUGAACACUGACUCGUGGGGCCCGGCUGUCAGCCACCGAACGGGGAGAGGCGCACGGCUGUCUGGCCACUGGGCCGCUCACGGGCCGAGAGAGGGAAUAGGCCGAACGAGGGGGAGAAAAGGGGGAAGGGUGCUGGGCUGCGGGGAAGCUGGUUGGGCUGAGCGCGGGGGAGAGGAAAAGCUGGGCUGCAGCCUUGCGGCCAGCUCCCAGGGGUUUCUCCCCUUUAACCUUUUAUUUUUAUUUUCUUUUUCAAAAACAUUUUCCAACUAGAAUUCUGUGCACAAAUUAUUUCUAUCCAAAAGCAAAGCAAGCAAAACAUAAAAUAUGCUCCAGCAUGAAUGCAUAACCAUGUUUCUAAUCCUAGGAUGAAUUUUAAUCACCAUAAAAUUAUUUAUUUGCUAGAUUCAAAAUGCUCACCAAAAAUACUUAAAUAAAUCAAUUUAAUUCCUGUUAAUUGAAAUCAAAUUUUUGGGUGUUACAAACUCUACCCUCCUUUAAAAGAAUCUCGUCCUUGAGAUUGAACGGUGCUUACUCAAACAAAUACGAAUACGAUUUCCUUAGAUCAUCCUCUCUUUCCCAAGUUGCCUCUACUUCGGAAUACCGAUUCCACUACACUUUGCACAUUCUAAUUACCCGACUUUUGGUGACUCUCUCAGCUGUCUCCAAUAUUCUGAUCGGAUAAUCUUCAUAAGUGAGAUCACCUUUAACAGAAAGCUCUUCCAAUGGUAUUUGCUCCUCAGGUAUACGCAAACACUUCUUAAGUUGUGACACAUGGAACACAUCAUGCACACCAGAUAAACUUUCAGGCAACUCUAACUGAUACGCUACUUCUCCACACCUUUGCAAAAAUUUAAACGGACCGACAUACCUUGGAGCUAGCUUUCCUUUCAUAUUAAACCUCUUCACACUCCGCAUAGGUGACACUUUCAGAUAGACAUAAUCACCUUCCUCGAAAGCUAGUUCUCUCCUUCGUGUAUCUGCAUAACUUUUCUGACGAGACUGAGCAACUCUCAGAUUAUCCCGGAUAGUCUGCACUUGUUGUUCUGCAUUUCUAAGCACAUCCAUACCAAACACCUGAGUCUCCCCAGUUUGAUUCCAAAACAAAGGUGUUCUACACUUACGACCAUAUAAUGCUUCAAACGGUGCCAUUUUAAGACUUAGCUGAUAACUAUUGUUGUAGGAAAACUCUGCAUAUGGCAAACUCUUAUCCCAACUGGUUCCAUACUGCAAAGCACAAGCUCUUAACAUAUCCUCCAGUAUUUGAUUGAUCCUCUCAGUCUGUCCAUCUGUCUGUGGAUGAUAUGCUGUACUAAAAUUCAACUUUGUCCCUAAGGAAUCAUGCACUGCUUUCCAAAAAGUAGAGGUAAACUGAGUGCCUCUAUCAGAUACAAUCUUCUUAGGCACUCCAUGCAAACAAACUAUCCGCUCCAUAUACAACUCUGCUAGUCGAGCUCCUGAAUCAGUGGUUUUGACUAGCAAGAAGUGAGCAACUUUAGUCAAUUGAUCCACUAUUACCCAUAUUGAAUCAUAUCCUCUUUGUGUACGUGGUAAACCUACUAUAAAAUCCAUACCCACUUCUUCCCACUUCCAUUCUGGAAUCUUCAUUGGUUGCAACAAUCUAGCUGGCCUCUGAUGUUCAGCUUUCACUCGCUGACAAGUAUCGCACAAAGCAACAUACUCAGCUACAUCUCUUUUUAAUCCAUACCACCAAUACUUCAGUUUUAGAUCUAGAUACAUCUUGGUACUACCAGGAUGAAUGGAAUAUGCUGACUCAUGAGCCUCUCUUAGAAUCAUAUCACGAAUAGCCUUCACUUCAGGAACACAUAUCCUUUUUCCAAACCACAGUACACCAUUGUCAUCUGUUCUGAAUCCUGGUGCUUUGCCUAGUACCACAUUCUGUGCUAUCUCCUUUAGCUUCUCAUCCUCCAAUUGUCCUUUCAAUAUCUCUUCCUCUAAAGUAGGAGUGACCUCAAUUUCCAUAGCAUUCACUACAAUUCCCAAGUUCAAAUAUGCAAAUUCAGCACACAACUCCUCAGAUUCAGGUGUCGCCCGAAGCUCAUUAGCAUAUUUCUUUCUGGUAAGUGCAUCAGCCACGACGUUCACCUUUCUAGGAUGAUAAUGCACUUCCAAAUCAUAAUCCUUUAUCAGUUCCAACCAUCUUCGUUGCCUCAAGUUCAGAUCUGUCUGGGUGAAGAUAUACUUUAGACUCUUAUGAUCAGUAUAUAUGUCACUCUUAUGCCCAAUCAAAUAGUGUCUCCAAAUCUUCAAUGCAUGGACCACAGCUGCUAACUCUAGAUCAUGAGUAGGAUAAUUCAGUUCAUGUUUCCUCAACUGUCUAGAUGCAUAAGCAACAACUCUACCUUCUUGCAUAAGAACACAACCCAAACCCAGACGAGAAGCAUCACAAUAGAUAGAGAAACUCUUACUCAGAUCUGGCAAUACCAACAUAGGUGCAGUAGUCAAUCUCUUCUUAAACUCCUCAAAACUAGCUUGACACUUGUUAGACCAUACAAACUUAGCAUUCUUCUCCAACAGAGCAGUCAUAGGCUUUGCAAGUUUUGAGAACCCUUCAAUGAAUCUACGAUAGUAACCAGCUAAACCAAAAAAACUUUGAAUUUCACUUACAUGUGUAGGUGGUUUCCAAUUCAGCACAUCUUUCACCUUACUAGGAUCCACUGCAAUACCACCAUUAGAGACAAUAUGACCAAGAAAAGAAACUUCUUCCAACCAAAACUCACAUUUACUACGCUUAGCAUAUAGCUUAUGUUCUCUCAGUUUCUGUAAGACUAACCAGCAUGUUCUUCCUUGGUUUUAGAGAAUACCAGAAUAUCAUCAAUAAAGACCACCACAAACUUAUCAAGAUACUCCAUAAAUACUUUAUUCAUCAUGUACAUAAAGUAAGCUGGUGCAUUGGUCAAACCAAAAGACAUAACUGUAUACUCAUACAACCCAUACCUUGUCGUGAAAGCUGUCUUUGGUAUAUCUGAAUUCCGAAUCUUCAAUUGAUGUUAACCAGAACGCAAAUCAAUCUUAGAGAACACACAAGCACCUCUUAGCUGAUCAAACAAGUCAUCAAUCCUAGGCAAGGGAUAUUUGUUCUUGAUAGUGACCUCAUUAAGUGACCGAUAAUCAACACACAUCCUCUGAUUACCAUCCUUCUUAUCAACAGAGAUAACUGGUGCACCCCAUGGUGAUGAACUAGGACGAAUGAACCCUUUAUCUUGCAAUUCCUUAAUUUGUUUCUUAAGUUCUUCUAGUUCAUUAACCCCCAUUAUAUAUGGUCUUUUAGCUAUGAGUGCAGUACCAGGUAGUAAUUCAAUAAUAAAUUCAAUGUCUCGGUCAGGUGGCAUACCUGGCAAUUCAUCUGGAAAGACAUCCGGAAACUCAUCCACUACUAGACUCUGAGGAUCAACAUCAUCGUUCAGUUGGUUCACUUUAGCUGUGAGUGGUGCUUGCACUGUUACAUCAACACUGAUUCGUUCUCCCUUUGGUGUUGUCAGAGCCACUACUCUCUCUUUGCACUUAAUAUCUAUCUCAUAUUGUUUCAUCCAAUCCAAACCCAAGAUCACAUCUAUGCCUGAAGUUCUCAUAACCAUGGGACUGAUAGGAAAAUCUACCCCCUUAAAGAAAGACUCGCUGAGGGGCAACAAUAAGAAACUGGUAUAGUCCGACCUGGUGAAUUUACUAGCAUAGAGGUUUUCAUGGCAACUACUAGAAUUCUAUGAACUCUAACAAAUGCUUGUGAAAUGAAUGUAUGCGAAGCUCCAGAAUCAAAUAAAACUAUAGCAGGGAUAGAGUUGAUGGUGAACGUACCCAUCAUAAUCUCUGGUCCCUCCUGAACUGUCUCUGUAGCCACAUUAUUCACUAUUGCCGCAUAAGCAGUAGACUUCUGGUUGCUGUUCGGCUUGUUGAGCUUCUCCAGGCAAUCAUAUGACAUAUGUCCCUCCUACCCACAAUGGAAACACCUUAUAGGAGUCUUAGAAGCACUUCUUUUCAUAGAGGUGGCAUUUGAGUUCCCUGAGCGGGGUGUCUGCUGUCCAUUCUACUGUUGGUUAUGAUUACGCUGCUGGAAUGGAGGACGCUGAUUCCCACCUUGUGAUUGAUUCCGGAAACGCUGAGGUUGUUGGUUGCGGUUCAACUGGCUAACUAGUCCCUGGAACCUUUGUUGAUGGCCUUGUUGAGAACUGAAACGCUGACGGUUGUUGCUCCCAGAACCUUGUGCCAGCAUCCUUCUCUUCUUAUCCUACCCCUUGCGCAUGUUGUCCAACACUAUAGCCCGAUUCACCAGAGCUUGGAAGGUAGGAUAAGAGUUUCCUGCCAGUUGCAACCUGAGUUCAUAGUAUAGGCCUUUCAUGAACAAGCGCUACUUAUCAGCAUCUUCUCUGACUUCAUUUGGAGCAUAGCGGGCCAACUGUUCAAAUGUGUCAUGAUAUUCUACCACAGUCAUGGAGCCCAUCCUGAGAGAUCUGAAUUCUUCUUGCUUGAGCUCCAUCAUUCCCUCAUUUAUAUGCUGAGCUCUGAAGUCUCUACAAAAUUCCAGCCAUGUGACAGGAGGAGCAUUGUUGGGACGAGUAGCUUGAUAUGACUCCCACCAUAUCUGAGCUGCCCCCUGAAGCUGUCCAGAAGUAUACAACACCUUCUCCAAGUCAUUGCACUAUGCUAUGUUCAGUUGCCUCUCCACAGCACGUAACCAAUCAUCUGCCUCUAUAGGAUCAGCUGAGUGUGUAAAUACCUGAGGUCUUCCCUUCAUAAACUCCCCACGCUUAUCUCUCACAUGAACAGGUGGCGGUGGUGGUGGAGGUUGCUGCUGUAGGUGCUGCAUGAAAACGUGCAUCAUCUCAUUCUGAGUUUGCAUGAGCUCUUCCACAGUAAUUGGAUCAUUGGCACCCAUGCCACGGCCUCUGCUUCUGCCUCUUCCUCGUGCUGCCAUCUACAUUCCGAGGUAUAUAAACAUAUCUCAGUAAUAUCCAACAUGAUAAAUACAAGAGAUCGUUGAAUCUGAAUUUUUCUGGACGACAUCCAACAUUAGCAGUCCAGAAAGUCAGUCAUAUCUCAAGUUCCAGAAUUCAAAAUGAUACAUUCUGUACACCGUUGAAAAGAUAAAGAAAUUAUCUACAACUUUCAUUUAGACCAUAUUAACAGAUUCCAUCAUUAAAUUAACCAAAACUGGGCACAACCGAAACUGUUCCAGAAUUCCAGACUGCACAGAACCUCAAAUUUAAACUGCCAUAACUCACGGCUCAUAACAGAUAAUAAUGUCAUUCUUGAGGCAUUGGAAAGAUAUGAAAGUCUACUUGUUCCCAGAAAAAUAUGAUGAACUUUUCACAAACAGAAUUUGAGAUGUACUAGAUUUGUUACAGACUGCUCCAGAAAACAGCAAAAGAUAGAAACAGAAUUUUAACCAAACCCAACUAUUUAGUUCAUUAAUCCUUAUGCCUUAAGCCUAUAACUAAAUGAAAUUGUAGAGAAAAUCCACUAGAUGAUUACACUCAUUACAAAGAUCUAAAUCAAGCAUAAGCAUAAUAACAACCAAACCAAGCAUCAAAAGUUCACACUUCAAGCAUUGACUUAACUUGCGGUACUAUCGUUCUCUUCUUGUUAAGGGUAAAGAUCCUAUAACUCCUAUUUCAAAGACGCUAGAAGGUGGUGAGAAAAAUUUCUAAUAGCAUAUCAAGCAAGGAGUGAGGAUGAGAACAAGUCUUUAAAAUAAGCAUCAAGGUGAAGAUGAAUAGCAAUGAAAAGGAUAUAGUAUAGGAGAAAAUAUCAAGGUUUAUUGAACAAGGAUUUUAUAGCAAUUUUAAAACCUUAAGACGGCCAAUUUCUAACUAGGCUUACGUCCGAUAGUCAACAAAGCUCUGAUACCAAUCUAUCACACCCAUAUUUUAAGAACAAAAUAGGAUGCAUAAAAGACUCAUAUGUGCCCCAGAAACAGUCGCACACAUAAGUAGACAAAUCUCAAAUGUACCAUUGCAGUGUUUAUUACAUAGCAGAACAAUAAUAAAUCACAUAGUCUUAUACAAGAAUGAUAAUAAGAUUAAACAGUGCCCUCGAUGGAAGCACCACACAGAGACACUGUUGACUGGUUGACUCCAAGCCUAAUACUCAUAACGGUAGUCCUCAUUCCAAUCAUCAUCAUUAGCAUAACCUGGGAUGUUGGGAAAUUGCAAGAGUGAGCACAUAUCGUACUCAACAAGUAUAACCAGGGGUUCAUGAGGCUCAAAUAGCUGACACUGGUUUGACUGCAUUUAGCUUUUAUAUGUAGAUAGCAUGUUUAUAUUUAGAUAGCCAAUAUCAAGGUAGCAUAGUAAAUCUCACAACCACAUGAUCAAUGUAUACAAGAAUAAAGAAUAACACAUAUAAACAACAUAAUAAAUCAUCAUUUAUCAUCAUUAAUCAUAUUCAUCAGUGUCCAUCUAUUCCGUCAGUUUUCCGGGCCGCCUGUAUCCGUGGGCACGACUAGUAUACUAGAUUUAACACUCUGCAAAGGUUGUACAUCUUUACCCAUGAGUCAUGAUUUACCCUUUCGCCCGAGGUAGCUAAUCUCUUAACCCCCUUCAUAGGGAUGUCGGCAGGGAUCACUAUGAAGCCUUUCAAAAGUUCGUCUAACAUGUUAGGGCCGCAAGGUUUCCUUCGCGCGCAGAUAUAGGUACCCCCCUUCCAAAUGGCACAAUGACGCGUAGCCUAUACACAUAAGCACAGGGGCUCGCACUAUACCCGAAACGGUUCACACUACUACAGAAUGAGGCAUUGGUCGAUGCCCAAAAUGGCCAAAAACCUCGGCCUUUUUGCGGCCCGGGGUUAAAGGCCCCUUUAACACCGGUUCGUAACACGAACCGGUGCUAAAGGGUCCUACCCAACGGCUACUGACGGGUGCUGUCAGGGCAGGGACCCUUGAGCACCGGUUCGUGUUACCAACCGGUGCUAAAGGGUCCCCUUUAGCACCGGCCAGUGCCACGGGCCGAGGCAAAGCCUUUAGCACCGGUUUCAAACACAAACCGGUGCUAAAGGGCGACCCUUUAGCACCGUUUUUUUCCCUCAACCGGUUCUAAAGCUCUGUUUUAUAUGCCUGCCUUCUCCUCCCCUCUGCCCAUUUGAAACCGAGAGCACCAUUGUUGUUCUUGGAGCUUCUUCUUCCUUGUUCUUCAUUUGUUCUUCAUCUCUGACGCCCAUCGUUGAUCUUCUUCGACUCCGUCAUCGUUUCUUCGUGCUUGGAGGUGACUAACUUUUGUCUUUCUUGUCUUUUUCAUGUUGUUUUUGGCUUGUGAUGUUCCCAUUAUUUUUAGCUCAAAUCCACUUUGUUAUUUUGAAUCAUUCAUAUGAAUUAGUAUCCAUAUAUAUAUAUCAUAUUUCAUGGUUGACCUAGUAUUAAUGUAGUUUGCAAGAAUGAAUUAUAGUAUCUUUUAUGAUCUUAGAAAGUAGGAUAGUUCAAAUUAAUUGGUUUGUUAAUAUCACUUGAUUUAUUUUUAUUACUACAUAAUGUCCAUUGUAUAAUUUAGAAGAUUUGUUGAAGUAACUAGACAAAUAAAGGAUAUUAUUAGGUUCUUCUUUAAUCAUACAUGUUUACUAGUAAAUGUGAAAUUUAUAAUUGUUUAAAAAUUGAGUAUGGAUAGUAGAUGGCAACCGUGACCGGGUCUUCGGUCUCUCAACGGGUUCAAAUGCGAUACCGGCCGGAACUCCCUCUCAUUACUUGUGGCAAGUGUGGGCAGAAGAUUGUGAUGGAGUACAAAGUGUCGAAAGAGGGAGUAAAUAAGGGUCGUAUAUUCUACAAGUGUCCAGAUCGUAAUGUGAGUUAUUUCCAGACAUUUGCUUAUAUAUGUGCAUAUUUUUUUAAAUGAUAUUAAUUAAACUUUUGAUUCUCUCUUUUAAUUUCAGUGGGACGGUACCGGCGGAUGUACGGGUUGGUACUGGGAGGAAGAAUACAUUGAACACAUUAAGAAAUCUUUUGCAUAGGUGGUUGAGGCUGAAGGUGGUGAGGCAGUGAGCCGACGAAAGGAGUUCAAUGAUUUUGAUCAAGCGAAUGAUCUAUCUAAUAGUUGGGAUCGGACGCGAAAUAAUUAUGUUGCUUAAGUGCAUUUUAGUUUUGGUUUUUUUAGUGCUAGUUGCGAUUGUAUUUGUUGUAGCCAAGCUUUCCUGAAUUAAUCAACUAUGUAUCUUAGACAUGUUGUGCAAUAAGAUGAGAAACUAUAUGUGUGCAUGGUUUUCAUAAUAUAUAUGUUAUAUUUAAUGCAGAUGGUAACACGUAAUUGGAUGUAUAAUGCCGAUCGGUGCUCCGAAGAGUUCAUUAAUGGCGUGCACUAUUUCUUAAGUGUGACUGAGACAAAUAAGAGGGACGGUUUCAUGUGCUGUCCAUGUGCCGUGUGCAAGAAUUUGACGGAAUAUUCUAACUCAAGAACUCUUCAUUCACACUUAUUAAAGUCUGGUUUCGUACCAAACUAUAUUUGUUGGACCAAACAUGGAGAAAGCGGGAUUAUAAUGGAUGAAGGUGAAGAAGAAGAAGAAGAAUUGGACCAUGCCAAUAUUAUUGCUCAGUACGGUGGCUUCAAUGAUGUUGCAAUGGGGGGAGAUAAUGAAGAAGAGGUAGCGGCAGAAGAUGAUCGGGGCGAUGAUGCUUUUGGUGAUGCCAUCCGUGAUGCACAAAGAGAAUGUGAAAGUGAUAAAGAGAAAGCCAAGUUCGAGCGCAUGCUAGAGGACCACAGGAAAUCGCUAUAUCCCACCGCUGAAGAGGGGCAAAAAAAGCUGGGUACCACACUAGAAUUACUGCGAUGGAAGGCAAACAAUGGUACAUCUGACAAGGCAUUUGGGCAGUUAUUGAAGAUCAUAAAAAAGAUGCUUCCAAAAGGCAACGAAUUGCCCACCACUACGUAUGAAGCAAAACAGGUUGUCUGCCCUUUGGGAUUAGAAAUCCAGAAGAUACACGCAUGUUCUAAUGACUGCAUCCUCUACCGUGGGGAGGAAUACAAGAAUUUGGAUGUAUGUCCAGUAUGUAAAGCAUCACGGUAUAAGAUUAGACGAGAUGAUCCUGGCGAUGUUGAGGGUGAAGAACGUCAUAGGAAGAAAAUUCCUGCCAAGGUUAUGUGGUAUGCUCCUAUAAUACCACGAUUAAAACGUCUGUUCAGAAAUAAGGACAAUGCAAAGUUGUUGCGGUGGCAUAAAGAAGACCGUAAGAUAGACAAUAUGCUGAGACACCCUGCCGAUGGAUCCCAGUGGAGAGCGAUAGACAGAGAAUUCCUAGAUUUUGCAGAUGAUGCUAGAAACUUGUGGUUCGCCUUAAGUACAGAUGGUAUGAAUCCUUUCGAUGAGCAGAGCAGUAGUCACAACACUUGGCCAGUUACUCUAUGUAUCUACAACCUUUCUCCAUGGCUAUGCAUGAAGCAGAAGUUUAUUAUGAUGUCGGUGCUUAUCCAAGGACCGAAGCAACCUGGCAAUGACAUAGAUGUCUACCUAAGGCCAUUAGUUGAGGAACUUCAACUUUUAUGGAGCAAACCAGGAGUUCGCGUGUGGGAUGAGUACAAACAAGAGCACUUUGACCUGCGAGCAUUGCUGUUUGUAACAAUCAAUGAUUGGCCAGCUCUGAGUAAUCUUUCAGGCCAGUCAAACAAGGGAUAUAAUGCAUGCACACAUUGUUAUGAAGACCUUGACUGUGUAUUUUUGAAAAAAUAUCGAAAGGUCGUGUACCUUGGCCACCGUCGGUUUCUUCCUGUGAACCACCCAGUACGAAAGAAAGGCAAGCAUUUUAAAGGCAAGGCAGACCACCGGACCAAACCUCUCAAUCGAACCGGGGAUGAUGUACUCGAAAUGGUCAAGGAUAUAAAAGUGGUAUUUGGAAAGGGACGAGGCAGCGAACCUAUUGCCAAGGAUGCUAAGGGACACGUACCCAUGUGGAAGAAGAAAUCCAUAUUUUGGGAGCUACCUUACUAGAAUGUCCUGGAGGUCCGCAACGCCCGACGUGAUGCAUCUGACAAAGAAUCUUUGUGUGAACUUGCUCGGAUUCAUGGGUGUCUACGGGAAGUCUAAGGAUUCACUUGAAGCACGACAAGACUUGCAGCGCAUGAAAGAACGAGACAACCUGCAUCUAGAAAAGACAGAUGAUGGACGUCAUUACUUAAGCCCUGCUAGCUACACUCUGAGCAAAGAAGAGAAGGAAAGCAUGUUUGAAUGUCUUAGUAGCAUCAAGGUCCCAUCUGGAUUCUCCUCCAAAAUCAAGGGAAUAAUUAAUGUGCCAGAGAAGAAAUUCCUGAACUUGAAGUCCCAUGACUGUCACGUUCUAAUGACGCAAUUGCUGCCAGUGGUUUUAAGAGGAAUUUUACCUCCACACGUACGUCUGGCCACCGUAAAGCUAUGUGCAUUCCUCAAUGCAAUUUCUCAGAAGGCAAUCAAUCCAGAGCAACUAGCUACUCUGCAAAAUGGUGUCGUUCAAUGUCUCGUCAGCUUUGAGUUGGUGUUCCCUCCAUCCUUCUUCGAUAUCAUGACACACCUCCUAGUUCAUCUGAUAAAAGAGAUUCGUAUUCUCGGUCCUAUGUUCCUACACAACAUGUUCCCCUUCGAGAGAUUCAUGGGUGUCCUAAAGAAAUAUGUGUAUAGUCGUUCCCGGCCAGAAGGAAGCAUUGCCAAGGGCUACGGAACAGAGGAGGUCAUAGAGUUCUGUGUUGACUUUAUUCCAGACCAUGACCCAAUUGGCAUUCCUGAAUCUUGACACGAGGGCAGACUCAGAGGAAAGGGAACACUUGGGAAGAAAACAUAUAUUGGUAGGGAGACGAUUACUUCAAUAAAGCACACUACACAGUUCUCCAGAACUCCUCAUUGGUGGAACCAUAUGUUGAGGUACACAAAGAUUUCCUACGGUCCCAGUGGCCCGGGAAGAAUGAAGCUUGGAUAAUGCGUCAGCACAUGGAAACUUUUGGCGAUUGGUUGCGCAAAAAAUGUCAAGGUGAUGAAAACAUUGAUGAGCAGCUUUAUUUGUUGGCCAGGCAACCAUGAUGGCAUGUCCUCACGUACAAAGGGUACGAGAUAAAUGGUAACACAUUUUACACAGUUGGCCAAGAUAAAAGGAGCACCAACCAAAAUAGUGGUGUACGCGUGGAUGCCACGGAUCCAAAUGGGAACAGACAAACAUAUUAUGGACGCAUAGAAGACAUAUGGGAACUAGUCUAUGCAGCUAAUUUUAAAGUUUCUUUGUUCCGGUGCCAAUGGGUGAAGCCAAGAAGAAUCUAGGUCGGGAGCAGGGGUUGGUGGAUGGUUAGUCCAAGACGCGGAACAACAGAGUUUUCUAGCGUAUUAUUAUACCGUCGUCGCCUUUGAAUUCUUUAUGUGUACGUACAAUUACAGCUCGAAUUACUUCGGAUCUUUCUAGAGGCAUUUGGGGCACUGCGCGGAGUUGAGUUCGGAAGAAUCCUAGUUUCUUUUUUUUAUGGAACACGCGCUUGCUAACUGACUAUUUUCAAGCCCGUCUCCAGAGGAUCCUCCUCGAGUUCUACCGGGCCCCGGUGAACGGCGGUCGCACGAAAGGCCUAGGCCUUUGAUUAGGACAUUGCACAAUGAUCCAAACACUUUGUCGCAUCUCUUCGAUACGAAUACAGUAACGAUCAUAGCGAUCCCCUCUGGUACCCCUGUGAAGCUUAACAGACAAAGAAAACGAUAGAGACUUCCGGGUAUAGGGUGACGAGCCUGACGGAGCAAUGCCGCGUGGAGGUGGAAGGCCUACGGGUCGUCAACUUCUUUUCUCGGAGAAGAAACAAUGACAGUGGAAACGGCGAACAAUUGCUGUAAUAUAUAGUAUAGAUACCGGAGAAACAUGCUGCUCUCCUCUUCUAUUCCAUUUUAUGUUUCUACAUAUCUUUCGAGAAGGGGGAGGUCCGAGCCAUAACGGAUUGAUGUGACCGUAACGGCGACUUGGAUAGCCGUAACACUCUCGGUAUGGAGGCGUCCCGAAGGGGACCGGCAGUAAGACUGCUUAUGCCCCGAAAGGCUGAGCCGAAUCAAAAAAAGCCUGGAAUUCCACCAACAGGAAUCUUCCUUCAAGUCCUCCAUACGUCAGUUUCUAUUCCAGCCCAGCAACGAAGGUCGGUCUGCAACAUUCCCUGGUACCCAUUCCGCUUACAGCUAGAAUCUCUAUCUCUGAUCCUGCCCUCCUUCCUAUCUGUCAUUUACAGAAGGUGCGAACCUGGUCUAGCAUCUCUCGGGUUUUUUUUCUCUCCUAUUUUUUUUUCUGUCAUAUAUUUUUCUCCUAUUUUUCAUUUUUUAUUUUCAAAAUAGGAAGUUCGAGAUAGAAUUUGGUCCAGUUGCUUCCCGCGGGUUUUCAUAACCCUGCUGCGCAAAAAUGGGGGUUAUUAUAACAAUAUAAAAUGAAGAUAAUGUUUGGAGUUUAAUAAGCUCUUUGCAAAAGAAUAGUUCCUGCUAGUGAAGUACCUAAAUAGUGCAAUCUCUUGCAUCGAGAAUCAUCCUACUUCUUCACUUAAUGCUUGCUUUCCGUCUUGCCUUUGCUGGGCCUACGAUAGGCUGUACUCCAAUACGAAAUAAGAUUUCUGGAGGCGCCUCACCACAAAUGCCUUUCCGUGACCCAAGCUACUUUACAAGCCUAUUUGUAAAAAACCUAGAAACUACUUCUCGUGAUGUUGUGGUAGAGCUUUUAUUUUAGCUCGAAACAUGCCGUAGUUCCUCGCUGGGACAGGAAUAAGUCGUCAAGUAGGCAUAUGAAUGGGAAAGGCUUUUCUUGUGGAUUCCUCCAACUCCAUGAAUGAAGGGGGGAGUAUGAGGAGGCUCUUUCAUCAACUGAUGUAAAGAUCAGUUAAUUCGCCAUAGUUUUUCUUUAGGGAAAGAUAAUAAGAUGGCUCCCUGUGCUCUGGCGCUAAUUCGUAGUGCUCUUCAGGUCCGAUACACAGAUCUGUCUUUUUCUCGAAAGACCUCCUUGUAUUUUCUAAUGUUCCGAAUCUAGCUUAUUCAACGUGGAUCCGACAAGAUCUGCUCCUCUUAGGCUCUACCACUGAGCUACUGAGGAACAAGGGGAGAUUCGACCUCCUAGAGUUCAACUCCCGCUCUCAACCCGUGAACAAUAUGAGUCCGAAGCUUCUUUCGUAACUCCUGAAAUUUGGUUUUUCAAGUAGUAUAGUUUUCUCAAGAAACCGGAAAAAGAUAAGUGUAGAUAAGUAAGGAGGGGCCCUUAGUGAGUGUGUAUAGGUUUCUGAGUCAGAAGAUUCUCAGGAUGGAGUUCCCCCGACUAGAAGGAUCCAGGGACAACGGCUAUUUCCUCCUAAAAUAUUGGCAGUAGCCGAAACGACUGGAAACCCAGGUAGCGGUCCGAAAAGGGCAAAAGUGGGAAGCGGAGACCGUAAAAAGGGGGAAAGGGCUGUUCCCUAUUAUUUCAAUCUUCCUCAACAGCUUCUAAUGAUUAACUUGCAAAACCCAUUCUUGCAAAGAGCCCUUUUUCCAAUCCGGACAAAAUCGCGGGUGUCCAGUUGGCAUGGGUCUGGGUUCGGCUCAUCAACUCGAACGGUCAAUGCUGGCCUGAUACCAGCAUCGUUAUACGUCACAAGUUGGGGUUGUUGGGGAGUAGGGCCGGGGGAGAAGUUCUAGAUACUUUUCCUUACAUUGUAUCCGACAUCCUUUCCAUUCUUUUGGAGAGAACUCGACUACUAGAAGGCACUAGACUCUGGGCUCCUCGUUCAUCGGGAAAUGGGCCUGAAACCGCGCACUCCCAGAAUGGCGCUUCAAAUAUCACCAAAGAGAGAGGGUGCUUGCACCUGGCACCUCGGUCUUCAGUUGAGAAAAGUGCGAGUCAUAGAAAGUUUGAAAUCCAAAUCAAGAUAAAACGCGAAUAUGGGAGCCCGGAGGAAGAUUCUAUCUUAAUAAAUGAGGGUUUUAUUGAGCAUCGAGGAACAAAAGAAUUUAGUCUAAAAUACCAAAAAGAAGUAGAUCGGUUUUUUUUCAUUCUUCAAGAACUGCAUCCGCUCUCAACCCGUGAACAAUAUGAGUCCGAAGCUUCUUUCGUAACUCCCGUUCCCUUGGCAAGGAAGUUCUGAUCAUUGCAUUGGCAUUCCAUGUUUGCAGGCCACAUCCCAAAGCAGCGAAGAACAAAUAGAAUUUGCUACAAAAGCCGGCUAAGGACAGACAAGAGAAGAAGUCAGAAGGGCAUAACCUGGAGUCCGUCUUUUCUAGGUGCGCAUCUCUAUCUACUAAAAGUAGCCCAUGUCUUUGAAAUCCAACGAUCGUAAUGCCUAUAAAAAUGGAAAAUGAAAGAGCCAAAGUUUUUACUAGAAGUGGAAGAGUUACACAAAGUUCGCGAAAUGAUCACAAGGGUUUAUGCACUAAGAACAGGCAAAUAUGCCUGGGUAAUUCCUCUUCUCCCACUUCCAGUUAUUAUGUCAAUGGGAUUUGGACUUUUUCUUAUUCCCACAGCAACAAAAAAUCUUCGAUCGGUUUCGGGUCAAAUAGGAAGAACGUAAAUCUUCCACCUCUGGAAAGCGCCUACACCUAAUGGCUUAAGCCGCUGUUCCCAUUUCCUCGCUGACCCAUCAUGCGAAAGGUACGCCGUUAGAGUGCGUGCGCCCGCGCUCCGCUCCUUCGACUGAUUGUUCGCAUCGGAUCUCAGGUUCUCUAUUGCACUCCCCGAUUGGGGUUCUUUUCACCUUUCCCUCACGGAAUAGAAAGAUAGAUCCAUCCAUCUAUCCAGAUAUCUAAAAAAGAAUCGAUUUUGAUUUCAUGAAACCUUUGAUUCAAAGAACUGCGCUUAGCCCCCCCGCUCAUGAAACGGCUCUGCUGCAAUGGAUGGCAGAGGGUCCGUAGUACA